rnacentral:lncRNA from 1 species
CAGGCAAGACAAAACCUUCGAAAUAAUCUCUAAGAGAUUCUAUUGGCCUCAACUAAGAAGAGACUGUAACAAUUUUGUCAACAGAUGCCCUAUAUGUCAAAGAGCUAAGGGCUCAAGUACAAACGCAGGCCUAUAUUCACCACUACCUACCCCAAUUUCCAUUUGGGGAGAUCUCCCAAUUGAUUUCGUGCUCGGACUGCCCAAGACCCAAAGACAGUAUGACUCAGUCAUGGUUGUAGUUGACAGAUUCAGCAAGAUGACACACUUUGUAGCCUGCAAAAAGACAAAUGACGCCACCUACAUAGCUAAUCUCUUCUUUCGAGAGAUAGUACGGCUGCAUGGAAUACCAAAUACCAUUGUUUCUGAUCGGGAUGUCAAAUUCCUAAGCCAUUUCUGGAAGACAUUAUGGAACAAAUUUGACACAACCUUGAAAUAUAGCACAACAGCACACCCUCAAAUAGUUGGCCAAACAGAGGUUACAAACAGGACCCUUGGCAACUUAAUACGCUGUCUCAGUGGAUCCAAACCAAAGCAGUGGGACUUAGCUCUUGCUCAGGCAGAAUUCGCCUUCAACAAUAUGAAGAAUAGAUCAACCAGCAAAUGUCCAUUUGAGGUUGUAUUCACGAAACAACCAAGGCUAACCUUUGACCUAGCAUCACUCCCCGCAACUAUGGACACUAGCUCAGAAGCAGAAAAGAUGGUAGAAAAUAUUCAGAACUUACAUGAAGAGGUCCACAGUCACCUAAAAGAAUCAACUCAGUUCUACAAAGAGGCAGCAGACAGAAAGAGAAGACAAGCUACCUUUACUGAGGGAGAUUUAGUAAUGAUUCACCUUAGAAGAAACCGAUUCCCAACUGGAACAUACAACAAACUGAAAGACAGACAAUUAGGACCAUUUUGUGUCCUAAAGAAGAUCAGAGAUAACGCUUACAAAAUAGAACUACCACCAGACUUACACAUUCAUCCUAUUUUUAAUGUAGUAGACCUAAAACAGUACUAUGCCCCAGAUGAUUUCUAUGCUAGGGGGGUGGAAUGAUGUAAUAAGAUAGUUAGUUUGUUGUCAAGACAGUUAGAUAGUUAGUCUGUUAUAUUCUGUUGUUAGUUGAAACUAAUCAGCUGUUUAAAACUGAUUAGUUACCCCAAACUACCAAAAUUGAUUGUAACUACCACAUACUUCAUCAAUAAAUAGCCAUUCUCCAGCUGAGAAUAGGCAGAGAAUUCAUUUGAGAAAUUAGUUCUACCUUGAUUUACAUUACAUGACAUACCUCCCAGCUAGUUGAUAUUUGCUUUUGUGGUGCACAUUACUUGUCGUCUUUCUCAGAAUCUUUUGGCAGCCUGGUUUCUGUUUUUUCUGUUAGAAAACUGUUGAAGUGCAGUUUCUUCACUUUAGUUUUUGUAACAUUUUUUCCCUUGUACUUUUCUUGUUUCAAGGAUUCCUUUUUCUUUUAAUUUAUUUAAUUUUAAUUUUUUUUAUUUUAAGUCACUGGACAUUAGGAGCUCCAUCUGCUUUAUUUUGUUGGUUGUUUUUCAAUGUGGUCUUCACUGAACUUUUUAAAAUAUAAGAAAGAAGAUGUAUUGGAAACCAAAACAUUACAGCAGUUCAAUACUGGAUUUAAAAUAUGUUAGAACCGAACUAUAUAUUCUCAUAACAAGUCUCUAUUUAUGAGUAUUGAAAGCAAUAAACAGGAAACCAAGACUUACGUGGAAACUCAAGUACUGUGAGAAAAACCACGAUAUUGUUGUUUUUAUUAUUUUCUUAUGAAUUAUUCAAUUGGUACAAUAAGGGAGAAUAAAUAGAAUACACAAAGGAAUAAAAAAGGAAAAGAUUUAGACAUUAGGGUAAAUAUUUCCCUAAUCUUUCCAUAAAUAUCCAAAGGGCCAAGCCCACUAAUUCUAACAAUGAGCGAUCCAGUAUAUUUAUUACUUACAUUCACAGGUUUAGUAGGUAUUGGCAAUCUCUAAUUUCAUUGCUAUUCCUCAUUUUUCAUGUUCUACAGAUGACCAAGCAUCCGGUUCUACUACUUUCCAACCAAGAACGAGUGCUAAGAAAUUUUAUAUUCCAGCGAGACUAGUGAUUGGCAAUGAUGAGUAUGUGAUUUAUUUAAACUAAUGCAUGUUUCGAGUAUGUGCAUGGAUAUUAGAUGAACAGUAUACUUGUGUAAUAUCACUAUAAUUUUUGUUUUUUCUGUAUAAACAAAAAUGCAGAUUUUAGUACUUCAUUUUCAUAGACAUAAAAGUUUCGAGACAAUUGUGCUACUAACGUUCUUGUAAUUGACUCUGAAUGACUGGUAGGUAUGUUAAGAUUGGAAAAGGCAAUCAAUUGGUCCGAAAUCCAAAAAGAAGAGCACGCAUACUGGCAAGUGAGAAAAUUCGAUGGAGUUUGCACACUGCGAGACAGCGGCUGGCUAAGAAGCGGAUGUACUGUCAAUUUUUCACAAGAUUUGGUAAAUGUAACAAAGAUGGUGGCAAGUGCCCUUAUAUUCACGACACUUCCAAGAUUGCAGUCUGCACAAAAUUUCUCAAUGGUUUAUGUUCUAACGCAAGCUGCAAAUUGACUCAUAAGGUUCACUAAUUGAACUGAUGAAUCUUUUCUUGCGUAAGCUUUAGUUUUGUUAAUGGUCAAAUGUCGAUAACCUUUCAUCUCAAUUUUUGAUCCUCACAGGUGAUUCCAGAAAGGAUGCCUGAUUGUUCAUACUUUUUACAGGGUACUUCUCAAACUUUAACUUCUCCAAAAAAAGAAAAAAUAUUUAUAGGACUCCAGGUUUAUAAGGACUUCUUGACAGGUUUAUGCAGCAGCAAAAAUUGUGCUUAUAGACAUGUAAAUGUGAACUCAAAGGUUCCUACUUGCGAGGCUUUCCUUAGGGGCUAUUGUGCUCUGGGAAACGAGGUAAUCUCCACUUUUCAAACAUUAUUUUCUGGCUACUUAACAUGAAGCACUUGCACAUUUAUUUAAUUUAGUCUUAACUCUUAACAAAUAUGCUGCAAAUUUUCUGGUCAAACACAUUGUUUGCUCCCUGAAACGAAACUCCCUGAAAAUCUUCAAUUUUUGCAAGUGUGCUUCUUGAUACUGGUGACCCUUCCUGACCGAGGACCCAAUAAUUUUUUCCGGUGGCGGAUGCUGAAAAAUAGUUCAAAAGAUAUUUUGUUGACUGUUUCUCAGAAAUGCUUUUAUCUUACUUCUAAAUUUGCUCCUUUAGACGCCAUUUGAAUUUUUAAAGACAAUAUCAAGUUUUUAACUCAAUAAUAUGUCGUGUGUAACUGUAAAUUGUGAAUCUAAUGAAACCUGGAACCUAAUUGUUCAGUGCCGUAAGAAGCACAGUUAUGUGUGCCCCUUGUUAGAAGCAACAGGAACAUGCCCGGAUAGAUCAACAUGCAAACUUCACCAUCCUAAACGACAAACUAAAGGAAGGAAAAGGAAGCGAUUGGAAGGGAGGAAUAAUGAUCAAGGACGCUACUUCGGUUCUACGAAUCAGGAUGUUUCUAGAUCUAGAUUGGUGGUGAGUGAGAAGCAGCUUCCUGUUAAAUCAAGUGACCCUUUUCUUGAAGAUCUGACAGAUUAUAUCAGCCUUGAUGUCGGCAGUGAUGAAGAUAUUGAAGAAAGUCGUGACUCGACAAGCCAGACUACGUCCUUUAGUCAAGGUUACCUCUCUGAGUUAUUGUUAGAAGAUCCCGACGAGCUAAUCAAACCAAUUCGGGUAAUGAAUGAGAAUUUGACUGUGCAGUAGUUGGCAAACUGAGUUGCUUGCUCCUUCCUCGUUAGGAGCAAGGUUUGUGUCCGUUCUCUCACCAUUAAGGUUUAACAGAAUCACAGUUUAGUUUAGUUUUAGUUUUAGUUUUAGUUUUAGUUUAGUUUUUUUUUUCUUUCUUUGUUUAGUUUAGUUUCAGCUUCUUCUAGUUGCAGAAAUCUGGAUAACUCCGUUUCUGCCAUUACUGUAAAUAGACAUUUAAAUUUGACAGGAAUGAAAUGAUUUUGUAUGAAAAGCUAAAAUAUUCUUUUUUAUUUUUUUUCUCUCUUCCAUAACACUUACCUAGGGUAACUAUUGUCUUCAUCCAAACUUUAUUUUUACUCCAUUCUGUUUAUUCUCUCUUUCUUUUUUAUUGAUGUUUUCAAAUAUGAACCUAACAUUGUAAAAUUUCAGAUAUUUUCAUGAAAUUUUGUGAUAGUUCUACCAUUUAUAAUAAUUCUUUUUUAUUCUCUUUGGUUUUAUUAAUAAUUAUUUCUAUUUUAUACCAUAUAUCUUCAAAAUUUCUUCAACUGUCUAUAAAAGGUUUAUAUUAUUUGUCAUCAAUUAUUUUAUUGUGUAUGGAUAUGUAUUGAAUUUUAUUCUUUUGAAUGAUGUGUGUAUGUUGGGUUUCACAAAAAGUUUAAGUAAAGGCGUUUUAGGUUUAGUCACAAAGUUAGUUUAUAAACUAAUUUGAAAUAGUUUUCUGAUUUUAAAAAGUAGCUAAUAUGCUCGUAAACCUAAUAAAAUAUUUAUUUGAAAUUAACUAAUUGUUACGUGAGAUUAGUCAAUUAACCUUACAAUAAACUCAAAAACUUCCAAAUGCCACUUUUAUUCGCAUAUAUUUUUUAAUUUUAUUCGAAAUAAAAAUAUCAAUAAAGAAUAGAAUUAAAAAAAGGAGACGUUAAUAGAUAUUUUUAUAUAAUUUCUUACAUUAUAAUAUUUACAUCAUUAAACAUGAACCGAUUGAGGUCGGAUACUAUUUUGUUGCUAUGGAUGUUUCGUGAACAACGUCAUGGACCGCUGGUUUUGUGAGUAAUCCAUUAUUGAAAUGUAAAGUUUGAGAAAGCAUGAAGAUUAAGAAUCUGUUUGGAUUGAAUUAGAAACAAAAUAUUUUUCAAAAAUACAUUUUCUUUUAACACUUUCUUGAAAAUGAGUUUAAAUUUAAACACUUACAUGUUUGGUUAGACUUUUUUAUAAGUGUUUAUAUGUAAAUUUUAUUUAAUUUCUAUAUACCAAAAAUGUUUUAUACUUAACUUAAAGAACUACUAAAUACGAUCAUCUAAUUUCAUAAAAAACACAUAUAUUUUAAUUUUAAAAAAGAAAUAUGCUUUGAAAUUAAUCACACUAUAUAUUGGAACUAAUUAUUUUAAAAUUUUGAAAUUUGUAAAGUUAGAACUAAAAACAUUUUUUUUUAUUAAUUUUUAUUUUAGGACUAGAAGUAUAUUGAUAUUUAAAUUGAUAAACAAGAUAUUUAUUUAUUUAUUUAUUCUUUUAAAAAAUAAAUAAAAGAAAUUAAUAAUACCUUCCGAAAUAAACACACAAAUGAUAAUAACCACGUAAUCUGCACCGAAGCGGCCCCCUUGGGAGAAAAAGAAAACUGCAGAAAGGAAAUUCCAAAGAGGGCAGACUGGCGGUAGCAGAAAGAAAGAAGAAGACUAAGGCAUUUAGGGCAAAGCUUUGAACAUUCAUAUUCCUCAUAACAAUGCCGGUGGAAUGAAUCGCUUCUAAGGGAACAUCCCACGGGGUACCCACACCUUUCAUCGAAGAACUACUGAAGUUCGAAGUUUUCUUACGCGAUUUUUCUGCUUUUUGAUUCAAUGGUUGACGGGAGUACUGGAAUGCAUUUUCCCGAUCAUCGGUUGGAUAGGUCAUUGUGUCAAAGUUUUUGUCACGGAAUUGUGGAGGGGGUGUCUGGGGUGGAAGAAUGUGACAAGGACUAUCUGAAUUUCUUAAAUGAUUUGACGUACGGUGUGGACAGUAAUGAUGAGAACGUUGAUGCUUAUCUUGAGGAUGGUGAUAAUUCGACUUCACACUUUAACUGGUCGGAUAAAAAAGUUGAUCCUGUUUAUAGGAUGUUUUUUCACCAUUUGAUCGGAGAUGGGAAAGCUUAUAAGCUUGAAAUUCCAUCGGUUAAUGGGAUGAAAGUGUAUGCUGUGAAGUACGAGGAACAGGAACAAGAACAAUCAAGUCUUAAUAGAAAAAGACCUGGAACUACCAGGAUCUUAAGGAGUGAUUCAAAGAGAAUGAAGAUAGAGAGCCAACCUAAAAAAAGCCCGGUUUUUUCAUUUGAAAAAGAGUUCAAUGUGGAUUGUGCAAAAUCUAUUGAUGGAAAUUCAAGCACAAUCCCCGGUGCACUUCCUCGUUCUGCUAAGCAUCUUUUCCAAUCCAAUUCUGACUCGAAUUUGAUAGAUGAAGACUACAAGACAUUUUUGAAUGAUUCCUUUUAUGAUGAUGAUCAUACAUUGACAUAUACGCCAGUGGACGGUAGGUCAAUUGUCUAUGAGGACGGUGAAAGUAUCUCUGAUUCAGAAGUGCUGAUGUUUGAGACUGAUCCAUGUAAGCAAAACCGUCGUUCCUUUGGGAGAAAAUAUUCUUGUUUUACUGUGAGUAUAUCUAAUUCCGGUGCUAUGAUCUCUCUGUAUUCUAAUGAGGAAUGAUAUCUGUUUCUGUCUGUUCUUUGCCUAUAUUAGUUAUUCUAUGUCUUACAUUGAUAGAUUUCUCUCUUUCCAGGUGGACGUAGAUAGUGGGAAGUGUCUUAGUCUUGGUAGACGUACUGGUUCCAAUUUCAGGGAAAGGCUCAUGAAAGUUCUUAAAAGUCCAUACGACGAACGUCAGUAUGACUAUUAUCUUGAUGAAGUAAGUCGUCGUCGGCCACAAGUGCGUCAUAGAGAGUUACGUAGUCGAGUGCUAAAAGCAUAUCAACUGGAUUCUUACGGCAAAUCAUAUCUUCAUAUCCAUAGUGGUGAGUUUUCUUAAUCCAAUUGUAAUUUUCUUUUGAAAUUAUAUUGACUGGAUUUUUUUGUUAUCAAUUACCAUUCUUCUUCAGUGUGUUCAAAGGUACCUGAGGAACAUAUUUCCUGUAGACUUUCAUCCUUAGAGAGGAUCUUCUUACCCUGAUCUGAUACUUUUAUCAGAUUUUACUUUCAUAGUUUGCUGCAAUAUUUUCUCGUUAUUAAAGAUAAAAUAGUUCUUCAGUAUUCUGACUUUCAAAGAACUAAUAAAUGUUAGAAGAAACCAUGAGUGAUUUUCUACUACUAACAUGGUAUCUACUCGAUCCAUCUACUAUGUCACACCAUUUUGAAAUGUUUUGAUGUGACGACAUGAAAUUUUUUUCAUACUAACAUAGUACUAGAUGUUGGCCCACGGAACUACCUUCUAGCUUGAUGUGAUGAAUGUUUUAUCUUAGAAAGUGUUAAAGUAACCUUUUUGACAUGUCCUAUUGUUUGUCAAAUAGAUAUCUGAUUUACUCUUGCUUUUUUUCGGUUCAUUAAUUUAUUUGCAUGAUGUUUGUUAUUACCGGUGUGAGGUUCUAUAUACUAAUAGUAUCUCCUAUGUUUUCUUACUGCAGAGCUUGCUACGAAAAUCCAAGCAGUUCAAUAUGAUCGCCUUAGAACUUUGACUCUACUGCGUGGCUUCUUCUAUUGGUUGCAGGUAGUUUUUAUAUUAAUUUAGCACAAAUUUUUAUUUCAGUAGACAUUUUUAAAGAAUGUCUCAAUGGUUAAGCAGCAUUUCCUCUCUUAAAAGGUCGGAAAUAUUAUUGUUGAACUUGAAAAAAUAGUCAUUUUUAGCAAUGAGUAGGGAUGACACGAAAGUGAAAUGAAGUUUUCUCACCAGCCAGUUCUUUGUUUUUUUUUUUCAAACUGAAACAAGUAGUUUUAUUAGAGAUCAGGAAGAGGCACAAGCUCAAGCUCAGUGUACAAGAGAGUUAUACAAGAGCUUACUAGAUAACUAGAACAAGAGGCAAAAUAAAAACUAAACAAAGGAGGUAAGCUAAAUUACACAAGACAGUAAAAUCAUAAGUGCAAAACUCAUUGGGGCAGAAUCAAGCUGGAGAAAUGAAAGCGUUCCAAUUAAGUUAAGAUGUUGAAUGCUGUAGCUGCUGAAAAUCUUUGAGUUCGAACACCAGGAGGAGGCAUUACAAUGAGCUAUAUCAAAGCGGUUCGUCCAAUCACCUGAUUUGUCAUGGAACACCUUUUGAUUCCUUUCAAACCAAAUUUCUGCCAAUAAAGCAUUCACCGGGUUUACCCAUAGUAAAGGAGCUUCUUUAUUUAGCUGGAGACCGCUUUGUUAAAGCAUCACAUUAUCACAAAAAGAUGCUCCAAGCGCCCAUGACAAAUUAAAGAUUUUAAACAGCCUUUUCCAAAAGUUGGCCAAAAACUUACAGAGGAAGAACAAGUGUUGGGAAUCUUCUGCAUGGUGUAGACAGUGGGCAAAUGGAGGGAGAGAGGCAACUAUUAGGUAGCUUACGUUGUAAAACUGAGAAGACAUUCAAUUGCUCUAUCAAUGUUAUCCAAACAAUGAUACUUGAUAAUGCAGAGCCCCAGUGAUCAGUAACCGAACCAUUGUGAAAUAAUGUUAUUCGGAACAACCGUGGAAAUGUUAAAAUGAAGAGUUGACACACCCUUCCAUGGAUCUAACCAAAAAGCUAUCCUUCUCCAUUUCUCAAUCUAAAGGUGGCCAAAGCUUCUAUUUUCAACCAGGUUCUGGCUAUACUCAUCCAAGGGCAUCUCGAGCAAAUGCCUUCUUUUCCGACAAUGUGCUAAUUAAAAGAGCCUUUGUCGUGGAUGCUCCUGAUAAACCUUUCACCCCCAUUUGGCUAGAGAGCCAAGUUUUUUAUUUUAGGGGACCGAGGCCUCCAUCCAAAGAAGAUUUAUUGACCAUUUUCCAAUUGACAAGGUGGCUUAAUUUACUGCCCUUAUGACCCUCCCAAAAGAAAUUCCUCAGAAUUCUUUCCAAUUUUGAAGAGACUCCUUCUGGCAAUAGAAAUGUAGACGUGUAGUAAGUGGGAAUAUUUAAAAGGGCAGAUUUAUAGAGGGUAGCUCGACCCCCUCUCGAAAGGUUAAACCUCUUCCAUUUAUCUAACUUUAUUUGGACUUUAUCAAGCACUGGUUGCCAAAAAGAGGAAAGUUUGGUGUACCCCCCUAACGGCAAUCUGAGGUAGAUCAAAGGGAGGUGAUCUACCUUGUACCCCAAAGAGGAUGCGGUGGACAACAAAUCCAUUUCUUACACAUUGAUCCCACAUAAUGUCAACUCGUCCCAGUUCACUUUUUGGCCGGAGCACCAUUCAAAAAGCUUUAUUGUCUGUUUCAAAUUUUCUAACAUGUUGUCAUAUUUGCAAAAUAGAAGGGUAUCAUCCUUAAAUUGGAGGAUAGGAACGUGAAUCUUAUCCAUUCCCACUACAAAACCUUCAUAAAAGCCAUUCUGGUGUAGAUUUUCAAUUAGUGUACCAAGGACUUCACCUACAAGUAGAAAAAGGAAAGGUGAAAGAGGGUUGCCUUGUCUAAUUCCCCUGAUGGCCAACACUCUUCCUCUUGGCCUGUCAUUGAUAGAAACUGAAUAUCUCGGGCUCUUGACACAACCCUGGAUCCUCUCAAUCCACUUGUGGUCGAACUUUUUGCUUCUCAUGAUUUUUUCGAGGAAAUCCAGUCAAUCCUAUCAAAUGCUUUUUCCAGAUCAAUCUUGAGAAGCCAACCUUUCUUUUUCUUUGCCCGGUACUUCUCAACAAUUUCAUUAGCUACAAGGAUUGGCUUGAGUAUUUGCCUUCCUUCUAUGAAUGCACUUAGCGUGGGGUAAGGAUACUUGGCAUUACCUUUUUAAGUCUUUCAGCUAGCAGUAGCACUUUGGCGAUUACCUUGUAGGUUAAGGUUGUAAGACUGAUUGACCUGGAUUUGAUGGCUACUGCAUUUCUUUUACCCUAAACCCUCCCUAGACCCUAGACCCUAGACCCGGAUCAACCAGAUGAAUUCUCCUACAAGCAAACAUUCAAUUUCCAUUCCUAUAAAAACCCUCAAAAACCGAGAUGAAGUUUAAUUUAAUUUGACUAAAUUCCAAUGCCUAAUUAAGAAUUCAGCCGGAAAGCUGUCGGGACGAGGUUUGAGGGGAUACAUCUUGGGCCAGGGCUUUCGGAGAAAAGCGUAGCAUAAAACUCCAGAAUCAGGCUUUCAAUUUCUCUGAAGGAAUUGGUAGGCUCCCCAAGAUCAUUAUCUCAGCAAUCGGGUUUUUCCUUUUUUAACUGUGAGAAAUCUGUGGAAGAAGCUGGUGUUUUCAUCCCCUAAGCGGAUCCAAUUCAACUUUCUUUUCUGAAUUAGAUUCAUCUCCUCAAUUUUGUGUAAGGACAUCAAUUCCGCCUUCAAUGAAGAUCUGGAUUCUAGUUCAAAUUCAGAAAGAAGAAAUGAGUCUGCCAUAGCAUCCCGCAUUUCAAUUUCCCGAGUCAGUUCUUCUUCUCUUGUCUGUUUUUUCUGAACUCCAGCUAGGCCGCCCUUCUCAACUUGUCACUAAGUACAAAAUCUGUCCAGCCUUCAGAACCACUGUUAGUCCAUGCUCCUUCAACUGCCAAAUUACACUCGUAGUUGCAUGAUCCGAAGAGGGAGGGCCCCCAAGUAAAUGAUCCGGCCUCAAGCAGAAUGGGUAAGUGGUCUGAGAAUAAACGAGCUUGCCUAGAAGCUCUUGUGUUUCGAAUUCAUCAUCACAAGCUCUAUUAGUAAAAAAUCUGUCCAGAACUGAUAUUGCAACUGAAGCCCCUUCUCGAGACCAAGUGAACUUACCAUUUCCAAGGGGAAUUUCCAGCAGCAUAGCUUUGUCAAUGAAGCUAUUAAACAGCUACAUUGUUGAAAGUAUCUAUAAUGAAUUUAAAUUCUUAGGUUUUUCUUUUCCCCCUAGUACUAUUCUGUAAAACUAUACUCAUUUUGUAAGAAGUGUUGCAAUCUGAGAGGAUAUUUUGUGAUUAUUUCUUUCUUUAUUUUCCAGAAUUUAUCACAUGAGGAUGCGUUUCAGCCUUGGAUGGAUCCAUCAUGCUUGAGUGUGUUGCCGCAGUCAUAGCUUGGAAGUUUAGCACAAUUUGGCUCUUGUUUCACUUUAUAUGCAGAAGAAUGAAUCCAGAUAAAAUGGUACAUCAUGAAUGUAUUUUGGUUGGUCGUGGGUUUCAUGUUUUUGUAAAUAUAUUAGGAAUUAAAUUAGUAGGUGCUAUCCAUUACAUUGUAACUCUUGUUGAGCCCAUGACAUUGAAGUGUAGAAGAAACACAUUCAUUCUGCUUAGUGUAGCAUUGCGUCUUUUUUUUUUUAUUCAUUUGGAAGAUUUUAAAAGACCAAGAUUUCAGAUUAUGAGACAGGGAAUUAAGAGAGGGCAAACUAUCACUCUGACUUCAGCUUAAACAAGUCUACACUCUAAACAUUAUCUUAAUAUUAACUCCAAAUUAAACAACUCUGCUCUCUAAUAAACACAAACUUCACACUAAACAGCUUCGCAUUCUGAAUAUAUAUUCAAUUACUCUUCUCCGAACUAGCUCAUAGUUUCAAUUUGGUCUUUUGAGUGUUUCAAGAUGUCAACAAAAGGUUGUCUAUGAUAUAUAGUAGCUUUUGAAGGUAUAAAACUACAAUUUGGAAGAUUUCAAUUUGGUCCUUCUCUGGACAGUGGCAUGUCUUUCUUUUCUUUAUUGUAGUUUCUCCCCAAUGAUAUAGUAGCUUUUGAAGGUGUAUAAAACUACAAUUUGUAGAGUUUAUGCAUUGAUGCAAUAUCAAAAUGAGAUGAAGGUGAAUAAUAUUUAUGAUUCUAUUUGGAAGACAACAUUUAAUUACAUUUGUAAAAUAUUUAUUUUGAUUGUAGAUCAUCCUGCGGUAGAUCGUUGGCAUUGAACAUAAUUCUUGGCUUUCCCAUGCUGAAGUUGAGAACCCUUGCAUUCAUAUUGUACUUGAUUUCUCCAUCAUAAAGCAUCUUUCUUAUGUAGUGUUCUAUGUCUGAACCUAUUAGCCUAAGUGUAUAUUCUGUCAAUGGAGCUCCCUGGUUUUCCACAAAUAAACACACACCCCAUCAAUAUAACUUAAUUGUCACACUAACUUCACAAAUCUAUAUUACAAAAUAUGCGUACGUGUGUCAGUAAUAUUGCCCUUCUAUCAUUACACUAUAAAUUUUGGAUGAAAAUUAAGACCUAAAACAAGUAGGGUGAUGACUUGGAACCGAACUUUUUGGACGACGAUAAAAUAAUCUAUUGCCUUCAAAUUCACUAACAUCUUGUUUAGUUAAUAUUUACUUUUUCAAUUUCUUAUUGUUUUCUAUUUUCUACUUGAUGUUUUAAAAAAUGAAAGCAAGUUUUAAAAACUACACAAAUUCUUUUAUUUUUAUUUUUAGAAUUUGACUCAAAUAGUUAACCAAAUAAACCCUGGUUUAGAAUAUAAAUAUAUUUUACAAAAUUUCCCUGUCAAAUGUUGUGGGCUUCGAUUGUUGUUUUGUCAAUUGAACCAUACAUACCUUUAAUCAAUAAAAGUACAUCAAUGUAUUUAUACAUUCUUUAGCUCAAUUAGUAUAGUAUUAGCUAGUCCUAUUUUAUUAACAAAUAGGUCGAUUUGAAGUUUUGGCAGAGCUAACCCAUGAUAUAACAAAGGAUCCUAAAAUACUAAAGAAAGAGAGAGAAAGAAAAGUACCUCAUAAUGAUCCACAAGCUCUUGGAAGUAAGCAUAGACUUUAUUGCAAGUUUCAGGAUUCCAAAGGAACUCAUUACUUGGAUCCAAAAGGAGAGUGAGUUUAUCCAUUUGAGUUUGAUCAAACUCACAAGUAAUUGGGUCAAUGUAAGCUGCAUAUAUUCUUACAUGUCUUGUUACACUGCUAAGCCAUUGUCCUCCAUACUCUCUCCCCAUGUUUUUGCUCUUCACAUUCUGUUGUACUUCCACGGGCCGCAGCGGCGACGGUUUCGGCUUUGCCUGUUCUUGAUCUUCUUCCUGGUCUCCAGCUUUUAGUUGCUCUGCAGCUUCAUUGAUCUGAGCUGAGAUGGGAAAUCUGAGUGUGUGUUUUGUGUUUUGUAUGCCAUUUUUCCAACCCACCAUAGAAAACAUUAUGUAAGAUGAAGCUGCUGCUGCUGCCGCCAUGGGAGAGUUCUUUUGGUGUCUAUCUUUUAGAAAAUGGUUGGUUUUGAUUUCUCUGUUUUAUAGUUUUGGAGUAUUUUCCUUUUUUCCCUAUGGAGGGUCUUUGUUUUUCUCUUCUUUUUUUCUUUUUCAAAUGAAAUGAGAUCCAAUUGUUUGUGGAUAAGAUUUUUUUGGUUAUGUUUCAUCAUUUGGUGCACUUACAUACAUACAUCCAUACACACAUUUAGGGCCAAAAACUUAAGAAAAUCUAUUCAGUUGAUUGAAUUAUUUUGGUAAAGGCUUAACUUAACAAUAUUUGACAUGAUCUAUCGUUAUAAUAAAAGAAUGGAAACUAUUUGGUGAAGAUAUAUUUGUUUCAUUUGUUUGUCAAAUAUUCAUGAUGCAUACAUUAUACAAAAACGAUUUAAUUUAAAUUUUUUCUUGUUUGUUUUCCAUUUUCGAGGUUAUCACAAUUUUUGAACAAAUACUUACCCUUUUAAUCUAAUUCUAAAAGCAAAACAAGUUUUAGAAAACUAACUUAUUUUAGUUUUAAAAUUUUGAUUUGGUUUUUGAAAAUAAUGAAUAAAAGUAAACAAUAAAAUUAAAAAAAAUAUUUAGACUUCCACGAAUGCAUAUCAAACUAUAAGGAAACAUAGUCAAUUGGAACCAAAUUCAACCAAAUGAUUAUAUACAUUACAGAACUAAAAGUUUAGAAAAGAGAAAAUAAUAACAAAUCUCCAUAAAAACGACUUGCUCCCAACUUUAAGGGCUUGAUUGGGUUCGAGGGUUGGAGUCGGAUGGAAUGAGUUAUUAUAGUCACUCCACUUUUAGUCCUUAGAGAUAUAAUAACGUUUUUAAGAGAAAUGAUUUUUUUUUUUUGAAUUUUAACAAAUAAUAUUUUUUUGCACGUACAUGGUAUUUUAUAAAAUACCAAAAUAUCAUCAUUCUCAAACGUAAUUAUUUCGUUUCUACAUUGUAAUUAAUUUAUGUUAUGCAUUUGUCGGCAUUUAAUUAUUUUUCACAGACAAAAGAUAUAACAACUCAUAUCAUAACUUUUUUCCUAAUAUGUCGAAACUCAACUAAUUGAUUCAACGAUAACUUUAUUCAAUCUUACAAAUUUCAAAAUAAUAAAAUUGAAUUUAAAUUUCAAAAUAAUCUUAUUGAAUUUUAAAAUAAUAAAAUUAUUAUUUUUCAGAAUUUGAGAAUCUCAACCGUAGAUUUUGUGUCAAAAUAACAUUAAUUGAAUUUCAAAAUUAAAAAAUAUAAACUUGUUUACUAUCUUAUCUCAAAAUAACAUUAAUGACUUGAAUUAUUUUUAAAUUGAAAGAAUCUCAAUAUUAAUUUUGUUUUAAAAUAAAUAUCAAAAUAACCAAAUUAUUAAUUUUUGAAUAGAAAAAUCUUAACUAUUGAUUUCAAAAUAACCCAACAACUAUUUUGAAUUUAGGAGAAUUUCAACCAUUUAUUUUAUUUCAAAAUAAUGUUUUAAUAUUAAAAUAAAAUUUAUUGGUUGAAUCACAAAAAUAACCAAAUUAUUAUUUUGAAUUAAAAUUUUAUUAGGUUUCUUUUGUUUAAAUGAGAACUCGCUUGUUGUUUGUUUCCUAAUGUUUCUUAUUAAGAGUUUAUGAAAGUCUAAUUAACUUAUUAUAAAAAUAUAGCUUUGUAUAUAUAUACAAUUAUGUAAACCAAUUAAAAUUAAAAACAAUUACUACUUGUGUUUAGAAAUAUUUUUAAAUCAUAUUCAUUUGACCGAAUAACAUUAAUUAAAUUAAAAUUUCUAUCAAUAUUGAUUUAAAACUGUAAUUAGUAUAAUUAUUUCAAUAUAUUGUAUUUUUAUCAAAAAUAUUUUGUGUAAUUAAUUUGUGAUAUAUUGUUGUAAAUUUAUCAAAGUCUUUCAAAUAUAAUUAAUUUGUGAUAUACAAUUAUGAAUAUGUAAUUAAUUUCAACGUUAGAGAACUCUAUCAUAAUCUCUUCUUAGUAUCUCGAAAUUUAAAAAUAUCAAUAACUUCAUUCAUUUUUUUAUUUCAACAUUGUGGUAAGAUUUUAACAACUUUAUUUAUUUUUUUAUUUCAAAAUAAUCAUAUCAUUAAUUUUUAUUGGCUAAAUCUCAUUUUUUUUAUUUCAAAAUAUGAUGAAUCAUUUCGUAACCUUUAAUAACUUUAAAUUAAAAUUAGUUUUGUUUAGAUUUUAAUUUAUUUUUGAAUUUUGAAUUUGAAAAACUUUUUUUUAUUUAUUUGGAAAUUAAAUCUCAACUUUUUUUUAAAUUUCAAAAUAAGUUGAAUAUUUCGAUCCUUAAUAGGUUAGAAAUUAAAAUUAGUUUUUGUAUUAGAUCUUAAUUUAUUUUUCCAAUAAAAAAGGCUAAGAUAUCGUGUUUUUGGAUAAAAUCUCCCAAAUUUGCUCGAAGAAGAUGAGAUGAAAAAAGAAAAAAGAAAAAUGGAGACGAAGGAAGAUUUUCAAAAUGAAAGAUGAGAAACGAAAAACAAAAAUGAAGAUCGUUGCAAUGGGUCUAGAAAAUGAAGACGAAGGAUUCUGACUUUGAUCGAAAAAAUAUGUAUUUAAGAUUUAUUAAAGUAUAUUUAUUCUAUUUUAACUUUAAGAAAGUAUCUUACACUUUAUGUAUAUAAGGGUAUUUUGGGCUUUUACAAAUUCUUAUUUAUUGUUUUUUUUCUUUCAUUUUACCAUUUUUGAAAAAGAAAAGCGAUUUUGCUAUUUUUCAAAAUGACAAAUUUAAAAUUGCUAUUCUUUAAAGAUACAAUUCUUUAAAGAUUCUUCUAGUUGACUCUUAGAAGAAUAGUUAUUUUUGGAGAAAUUUGAGUGGUAUAUUUUUCUUUGGGAUAUUGUUUCUUAAGUUAAUAAGAAGAAUGAUAAAUCUUCCACAAUAUGAUUGAUAAAUAUGAAAUUUAUAAAAAUAUUUUAGAUUUUUUACUUUGCUAGACUGUAUUUUGUAUUUUGUUAUAUUUUGGAAAUGUUAGAAAAUAAAUGUAUAAAUAUUUAUUAAAGAUACAAUUUUAGUUAGGAUAUAAUAUAAUAACUAAUUGGAAAUAUUAAGAACAAUUGGACAUCUUUGAAAGACUUGCUCCAAUUUUCUCUAGCAAAUAGAUCUAAGAUUAAAAUACCAUAAACGAGUUUGCAAAAUACAAUUUGUUUCGUAAAUCCAACCACCUUGCCAAUGUCCGAUCUAUUUAAAAUACACUAUACGUGUAAUGUAAACCAUGAAAUACAAUAAAGUCAUAAAUCCUCGUGUCAAUAUUUUGCUAAAAAAACUUAUUCCGCAUAGUUUUUGCUAAAUUUCCAACCGAGUAAAAUAAUUUUGGCAUUUCAUCCAAUUUCUUAAAAGAAGGAAAAAGCUUAAUUUAGCUUAAAUAUGACACAAAUAUAUGCCCGAGCCCAUAAAGUCCACGGAAGAACUUCAAAAAUAUAGAAGUUCUCUUCGUUCGUGAGGAUAGAAAUUUUUGGUUUUAGAGAGCUUAGAGAGAAUUCUUCUAACAGCAAAGCUCUUGAAAACUGUAUCACUCCUUGAAACUUAAGUUCCUUGGAGAUACAAAUAUUCUUUCGACUACAGCUUUAGAAACAUCACGAAGCGAAAGGAUCAAACACUAGAUAUCGAAUCUCACCGCAUCAAAUCAAUAUAAACAUAACAUCAACACAAGUUCAACUCCACAAAACACAUUUUUUUCGAAAACUUCAUGCAAACAAUUACAUACAUACAUAUAUAUCCAACAAUACAUACUAUAAUAUUACUGAAACUACAUGAAUAAUAUAAAUUAUCAUUGUAAUAAUAGUAAAAGUAUGUUGUAAUAUAGUAAAUAUAUCCUAGAAUCUAUAAGACCAACGACAUUCAAUUUUAAAUAUAAUAACACCUAUAACACCACGUGAGAUAUACACGUUUGUAAUAUAGUGAAUAUACUAAUAAAAUAUAAGUAGAUAUCUAACGUAUACGUAUAGUUGCACUCAUUUACUAUAACUUUUUGAUCUAUAGGACAUAUAGUGAUGACAUUUGUAAUACAUCUUAGAGUCCUAGACCAAAUUGAUAGCAAAAGACAUGCCCACUAUCUCUUAAACCGGCUUAAAAUCAACAUGAUCUGUUACCAUGAUCAACGCUAUCGUUUAAAGUAUUAUUUCACUACACGAUUGUUUAAUCUAAUUUAAACAUUGUGUAUACAUACCAGACGAUCGUUUAUAUUAUAUUAUACAAUUGUUUAUGUUUGAAACUUUGUUGUCAUUGUUUAGAGUUUAUUAUCCGAUAUUUUAAAUUUGAAGCAUUUUUUUUCAUCAUUUAAAAAUGAAGUAGAGAGUCGCGUUUUAGAAUUUAAAUCAUCGUUUAUAUUAUAAUACACAAUUAUUUAGAAGAAGAUUACUUGCACGUUUGAUAUUUCAGCUUGUGAACGGUUUCCUUUUCAAAAUGAUUAUAUGUAGGGUAAAUGGUUUGCUAUAUUUUAAAAAAGAAAAAACUCCAACUAAUUUUGAAUUAGGCUAAAUCUUAGAAUGUUUGAUGUAAAUAAGCAGACACGAGUGAUUCAAACCCUCGUAAGCUUAGAGAGCGGAGGAUUGUUAAUUUUGGGCCAACGUCCUUGAGAACGUACCGAGAACUUCAAAUCUGUGGCGAAAAGAAAUAUAGGGUUUAACUAAGAUUUUGGGUCACGUAGUUGGGGACGGCAGCUUCAGCCUUCGACCAUUCCGAUUAGACUCCCCAAAUUUCUCAUUCAACAUGGCUUUCAAGACCAACACCGUUGCUUCCGCUUCUUCUGCUGUUGCAAUUUCUUCCGAAGUUAAGCUCCUUUCCUCUCUAUUUACUCACUCUCCCGCCGUUCUAUCAUCAAAUCCCCAAAUUUCCUCUGCAAAUAAUCCCAAGUCCCUACAUGCAUCACCGGAACGGAUUUCCUUUCAACACGGGAUUCCGAUGUUCCUACAUAAGUGCAAGACAGGUAGUAUCUCUGUAACUCAAGCACACCAAUUCUUUGACCUAAUGAUGCGUUCAAUCUUUUCUUUCAAUCGUUUACUUGCUGGACUUGCUAAGAUUGAGCAUUACUCUCAAGUGUUUUCUCUCUAUAAACAAAUGCACCUUGCUGGACUUUGGCCCGAUUUACUCACACUGAAUAUAUUGAUUAAUUGCCUUUGUAAUGUGAAUCGGAUUAACGAAGGUCUCGCGGCCAUGGCGGGGAUUAUGAGGAGAGGUUACAUUCCUGAUGUAGUGACAUUUACUACCUUGAUUAAGGGCUUGUGUGUGGAGCAUAGGAUUAUUGAAGCUACUAAGCUAUUUAUGAGAAUGCAAAAGUUAGGUUGCACGCCUAAUGUGGUUACUUAUGGAACUUUGAUCAAGGGCCUAUGUGCAUUAGGGAAUAUUAACAUCGCACUUAAGUGGCAUCAAGAAAUGCUCAAUGACACUAGUCCAUAUGUAUUUAAUUGUAGGCCUAAUGUUAUUUCCUACAGUAUCAUCAUAGAUGGACUUUGUAAGGUUGGAAAUUGGGAGGAGGCUAUAUGUUUAUUCAAUGAGAUGGUGGAUCAAGGUGUUCAACCAAAUGUUGUCACAUUUAGUGUGUUGAUUGAUAUGCUUUGCAAGGAAGGACAGGUUAUCAAGGCUAAGAAGUUGCUAGAGAUGAUGAUUCAGAUAGGUAUUGUUCCUAAUUUGUUUACUUAUACUUCAUUGAUUAAGGGGUUUUGUUUGGUUGGUGACUUGAAUAGUGCCAAGGAGUUGUUUGUUAGUAUGCCAAGUAAGGGAUAUGAACCUGAUGUGAUUAGUUACAAUAUGUUAAUCAAUGGGUAUUGUAAAACCUUGAAGGUGGAAGAAGCAAUGAAGCUUUUCAAUGAAAUGCUUCAUGUGGGAAUGUGGCCAGAUGUGAAAACAUCGGGUGUCUUGUUAAAAGCGCUUUUUCUUGCCGGCAAGGUUGAUGAUGCAAAGGAACUAUUUCGUGUCAUUAAACCUUAUGCUAUGCCCAAAGAUUUAUGUAUAUGUUGUAUUUUCUUAGAUGGGUUGUGUAAGAAUGGUUAUAUUUUUGAAGCGAUGAAACUUUUUAAUGAGCUAGAAUCUUACAACAUGAAAUUGGACAUUGAAACCUUUGGUUGUCUAAUUGAUGGUCUGUGCAAAGCAGGGAAACUUGAAACUGCUUGGGAGCUAUUUGAAAAACUAUAUGAGGAAGGAAUUCAACCGGAUGCUAUGGCUUAUUCCAGUAUGAUCCAUGGGUUUUGUAAGAAGGGACAAGUAGAUAAGGCAAAUAUUUUGUUUCAAAAGAUGGAAGAAAAUGGUUGUUCUCCCGACUUAAUUACUUAUAGUAUCCUUAUGCGUGGUUUCUAUGAGAGUAAUAAAUUAGAGAAAGUGGUUCAACUCCUCCAUAGGAUGAUUGAAAAGGAUGUGUGGCCAGAUGAUGGCAUUUAUGCUAUAGUUGAAGACAUGGUUUGCAAAGAUGAAAAAUAUAAAGAAUGGCUAGACUUGCUUCAAAGAUUUUUUGUCCAAAAGCAUCGGAAUGGCUAUUUAUAGACUUAGAAGCUAUAUGACUUGGAAAUAUCUAAUCAGUUUUGAGAAGCAAUGAAACACAUUGGUUUCCAUUUUUCUUCUUUGUUGCUAAAAAAAAUAUUUGAGUUGUUCUUCACGAGCAGCAUUGGUAGCGAGUUUGUUAAGAAAUGGAGAGAGAGAGAGAGGCUGACAAUGGAGUAAUUAUACUUGGGAGAAUUGAAAUCACAACCACCAGCGGGGAGGAGCACAUUGAUUGACGACAUCGCUCGUGGGUGUGAGACUGGAGAAAAUAGGGUGUUGUGGUGUGAGAAGUUGUUGGUUAGUAUGCCAAGUAAGGGAUAUGAACCUGAUGUGAUUAGUUACAAUAUGUUAAUCAAUGGGUAUUGUAAAACCUUGAAGGUGGAAGAAGCAAUGAAGCUUUCCAAUGAAAUGUUUCAUGUGGGAAUGUGACCAGAUAUGAAAGCGCUUUUUCUUGCCGAAAUCACAAAUCUUUUCCUAGAAAAGCUCAAUGACCACUAGCGGGGAGGAGCACAUCGAUCAACGACAUUGCUUGUUGGUGGGAGACCGAUGAAAAUAGGGCGUUGUGGUGUGAGAAAAUGUGGAAAUGAAAAAGUUCUUAACAACAGACAAAAAGGGGAUUUGAGCCUUGAUGCCUCGUCAAAUGCAUAUCUUCUAUUCGAAAACCGACAUUAAAGAUUCACCUCUUUGUUAGACACUUUUUGACAUAGUACAUAAGUAUUAGUUUCGCGAUCAACUUCAAAUGCCUAAUUUGUUGUAAUGUUUGAAAUUAGGUUGUUUCUUUCUCAAAGAUAUCACUUCUGUUUUCCAUUCAUCCUUCUUCUUUUUGUUUAAGAAUUUCUUAAAGGUUGUCUUCUAGGCACAGUUGAGCGCACGAAUGUUGAGACUUCGCAACAAAAGUUUUAAAAGAUGAUAAAUUGUGAGUUGUGAAUUAAAAUUAUUCAAUUGUUUGACAUAUUUAGUCAAUCUGAAUGACUAACUAUAGAACAAUUAAACACAAAUGGAAUGAUAUAGAGUACUCAUAUUUAAGUAAUGUGAUAGCGAAUAUUAAUAAAUAAUUCGAGUUUCAACACAACAAUGUAGAUGCCAAUACCAAUAUACACAUUGAUAAGAGUGGAAAUUGUUCAAGGAGAAGAUAGUUAGGACCAGGUAGAUGAGGUAACCCAACUCCUUAAGUGCCUACUUAACUGGAUUGUUUUUUGUGUAUAUAUUAUCCCAACAUUCUUUCAUUGUUGUUUUGAUUAUCUUUCUUCUUUUCUUCAGACAUUCUAACUUGAUUUGAGUAGAUUUUUGCGGUUGAAGAUGGUGGUGAAUGAAUAGAUCUUAAUUUUGUCUUUAAUGUCAUUGGUUGCAUAAACUCAACUUUUUUUUUUUUUGAUCUACACCUUAACAUAAUUCAAAGACUUCACAAAUCUAAAUUCUACAAACUCUAGCUUAUUACAACUACGAGUUUAAUAUCCCUUGCUCAUGCUAUUGGUGAUUUUAUUAUUGGGUUUUUUGGGAUGAAAAUUGAUAUUUUUUAUCUAGGAUGUUUCUCUUGGAAAUAGGGAAAGUUGUAAGAGUUUUUCAUAAUCACUGUUAUAAAUUCACAGACCUGAGUUUAUGGCUUUAGAAGAGUAUGAAGAGGCGUAGAACAAAUUAGUCGAUAUAUACUCAUUUGGAAUGUGCAUUCUGGAAAUGAUAACUUUUGAAUAUCCGUACAAUGAAUGCCCACAUCCCACUCAAAUAUAUAAGAAAGUCAUAUCUAUUAGAAGAUUUCUCACUGUUUAUAUGUUUCUUGUGUGUACGUAUGCUCAAUAUUAAGUAACAUUUAACACUCUUUUCCCAUUUUUUUUUUUUUCUGAAUUAAGAAAGUGUCUAGAUUGUCAUUUCUUUUCAUAUAUGAUUAAUCGACAUGCAAAAGCUAUUGGAUAAUAUUUUAGAAACUACUCUAGAGUUGGUGGAACAUUCCAAUUAUGUUCCUUGUUAUGAUGAUUCUAGUGGGGGUUUGGUGUAGAGAUUUGGAUUCAAUGAACAAUAUUGUGUACGUCUAUAUCUAAUUCUAUGAAGUGAGUCAUUGGUCACAGUCAUUGCAUGCGAGACAUUAUGUCUCUCAUCAUCACGUAAUUACCAAGUCCUCGUUGAGUAUAAGCUUUCCUAUUCCUUGCCUAAGUAUAAGCGAAACAAUAGGUUCCUGGAUAAUCCAAGGUCGAACACAGGAAACUGAUAUCAAAACUUAGUUCUAAAGCUCACUCAUCAUCUAGGUAGUAUAAAAUUUCUAUCUAUACAAUAAAAAGUGUAAGUUUAAACUAUAUCUACCAUCUACACUAGAGAGUCUACAAAAAGGAAGAAUAAUAAUGGAGGCGAGAUGGAAGUGUAAACUAACUUGUGUUAAGAAAGAGUGUAGGAAGGUUUAUGCGUUACUAGGCGAUUAAGCCAUGCAACAACCUUAAUGCGAUAAAACUUAGUUAACUAGCUUAUGAUUAAUGUGAGCACCUCUCAGUACCUUAAACAUCACACUUGCUUGCCUCUCAUGAUGUAAAUGAUAAAACUUGAGAUAUAUCUAAAGGGUUUACUUACAAGACUUACAAGACUUAUAACACUUCUCUUUUAAGGGUGACAAUCUCUCGGCACCAAAUACUCACACUUGUUAUCCUUUUGGGACAUAAAUGAUGGAAGUUAUCUCGUAAAGGUGGAGUUUGUCUCUAAACUCCUCCUUUUGUGCAUUAGCCAUAUUCAUGCUAACACAAUAAGCUUUAUAAAUUAAGCUUCUUAUCAAGAACUUAUCACAUACAUAAACUAUACAAAAUACAUUGACAAAUGAACAAUAAAGGAAUGUUGGAUUGAAAAUGUAUAAACAUGCAAUAUAUUAAAGAAUGCAUGCCUUAGGCCUUUGUACAAUAUGAGCAUAUACAUUGCAAAGAAUAAUACAAACGAAAAGUAAAAGAAAUGACUUUACAAGUUAGAAGAAAGAAAGAAUGAAAUCUUCUCUACUUUGACUCUAAGCUUUUACUUACAGGCUGACUGGAGAAGAAGAAGAAAUGCUUUUACAGACGAUGGAAAGUCUAUUCCUUUCCGCUCAUCUCUAGGGUUUGGUCCAUUUAGGCUCUCCUUGUCUUGGUAAAGGUGGAGUCCUUUUAAAAGCAACUUUCGGCAGAAAAAUUCUAUCCUUUUGAACAUGUCAGUACCAAUUGCAGUCUUGUCAAGUCACAUCAACUUCAAUUACCAUUCUUGUCUUCUAGUGAACCUUCCUUGCCUAGAAAUUGUACUUGCCAAAUAGGUUCUUCUCACAUAGCCUUCGCACGAGUUCCUCUACGAUUCAAUAGUUUCUUAUUUUGUUCCCUAAUCACGCGUUAAAACACUAAAAACAAGGUAAAACACGCAUGAAGACUUAUGUAAAAUAUAUUUCCAAAUAGUUAUGAAUUUACAAUAAAAGCUAUGCGUUUUGACACACUUACUAUGCGUUUUUGUUCCAUUAUUUUACCUAAAAGGAUAUAGUAACUUAUAUUUUUAUAAGUUAUCAGUGUUAUGUUUGAUCACAUGGGUAAUUACUUUAACUACGCCUUCUUAUUUGAAGAUGCUAGAAGACAGACUUAGUGAUAUUUUGAUGCUUAUACUUAACGACUCUUUAUAUUAGAUAUCUUAAAGCUUAAAUGAAUAUGAACUAUUAUAAGUGAAUCUUUGGAAACAAGUUUCAACUUCCGAAAGGGUACUUCUAUCUACCCUGUCCUUCAUGUUUUCCAACUUAAAUGUGUCUUGAGUGUUUGGGGCAACGUUACAAUGUGCAAUGAGAUAUUGUUUAAUUAUUAGUAUUUACUUAUAGUUAUAUGUUUUGUAAAUGAUAUCUUCCUUCCAUAUUUCUGCUUAUAACUUGACAGUUAGAUUGUUUUAAUUCUAGAAUUUUAAUACUUGUGUUGGUUGUUUGAGAUAUAUGAUUCUAUGUCUUCCAUGGUUUGGUAGUUUGUAUAAAUUAAAUAUAAGUUUUAUACUUUGUUUAAUUUCUUUUUGAUAUGUUUAAUUUUUUUUUUAUUUAUCUAUUAUUUUAUGUACUUAAGUGAGUAUAUCUUCCUUGGAGAUACUUUUGGGACACCAACUUUAUAAUCCUUCGUAAUAGACAACUCCCUCGUUUGCUAGAUUUUGAAAGCUUUGUAUAUAUAUAUAUUAAUAAAUGUAAUUUGUCAAUAGCUUACUUAGUUAAACGAUUUGUCACUUUCUUGGUUGUGAAUGAGAUAAUUUUUGAGUUUGUUGAGAGUUGUGUUGUAUGCAAUAGAAGAGAUAUUAUUGUUUCUUGAAAAGAAAAGAAAGAUUAUUGAUUUGCACAUUACUUUUUUUUAUAUCAAUUUUUAAGUAUUUGAUCGUCAUUUAAAAUGGAUUGGACAAUGUUGUAAUUAUUGAAUAAAUUUGGUAAUAAACUGACACAGAAGACAUUGAAAUGGUCUACAAUGUUAGUUUUCAAAUGACAUUGUUGGGAAUCUAUAAUGGCAGUUUAAAACAGACAUCAAAGCAAAACUAACGUUAAAAAGCUUUAAUAACACGUUCAUAGAUGUCGGUCAAGAACUGACAUUGUACCUUUAUCAUGUUAUUUUAAACCAACAUUGUUGAUGUCUUAUAUGUCGAUUUUGAACUGACAUCAAAGCACAACUAACAUUAAAGGGCUUUAAUAUUAUGAUUAUAGAUGUUGGUUGGCAACUGACAUCGUACCUCUACAAUGUCAGUUUUAAACCGACAUUAAAGUUCAGUUUUGUUGUAACUGAUAACGUGUAGUAAUGACUGUUAGUAUAGCUAUUUUUAUUAGAAUAUUAAAACACAUAAGAAGUUGACCAGAACAUGUGACUUGUAUUGUAAACGCACAAGUAUUUAGAAAUAUAGCUUGCAUAAGUGAUAUUCUUGUUUUACGCGGUUAUCAUGUUUAAACGCAGGAUAAGUGAGAAGAAAAUAAAUGAGCAAAUCAUAUAAAACAUAUCACGCAAAGGCUACACAAUGGGAACUAGCUUGGCGAAUAACAACCCCAAGCAAGGAACCAAUACAUCACGCAAGGAAAGUUCACUAGAAGACAAGAAUGCCAGUUGGGAUGAUGUGACCUCACAGGACCAGAUGACAACGAAGACACACUAAGAAAAAUAGAAGUUUCCCAUUGAAAAAUAGCCUAUACAAGCACUUAUUCACCUCCACCGAAAGGAAGGAGGGCCCAAAUAGGCCAAAGAAGGUCUGUAUGGAUCUUGAGAGAGAGCUCGAGUGAGCUACCUGGAGAGUAUGUAGCCGUGAUGAAGAAAAAGACGAUUUAUGUUGAUCUCCUAACUUGUAAUAGCAAUCAACUUUCUCUUCCUCCCAUUUUAUUGUUUUCAUUUAUAUUUUUAUACCUCAUAUUGUACAUAUUGUUUGUGGGUCUAUGCCCUACAUUCUUGGAUAAAUUUAUGUAACAUAGUCGUUCAAUAUGUCAUCCCUCCUCUUCUGGAAGUCAACGUGUUAUUAAUAGCUUGAGUAGGUGAUAAUUCAUGAUAAGAAGAGUCACUUAUAAAUCUUAAAGUGCUAAUCACGCUUUUGUUAUUGCUUGGCCAGCAUAAGUUACUAACUACUCAAGAGGAAAAGUAGCUAGAACCUAAUUAGCACACGUGAAGAGAAACUUUGCCUCUUCGCGAGAGUAUUUCUAAAAUUUGGAUCCCAAAAGGAAGACAAGUGUGGACAGUGGAUAUCGAGAGGUAUCGAUCCUUAAUCAUGAAAUACCUUAAGGUGCAUAAGUGGUUUCUCCUAGAUACAAUUCACCUAGCUGUAUUAUUUGGUCAUAUAGAUCUCUGAAAAGCAGUCAUGUGUGGCAUAUAUGCCUUCGAGAGAAGCAUGCCUUAAUUACAAGUAUGUCUUAGGAAGUUAGAUCGCAUCAAAGUUAUCUCUCUACUCACUCGAAGGAUAACAUGCAGACAUUUCUGCAUUCAUUCCUUUAAUACAAGUUAGACGCGUUAUAGUCUUUCUCUUCAAGUCGCCUUAGAGACUCUUGCUUUGUAAUGAAGAGUAGAUCCUAAAACCAACGUUUGAAAACAAUUAACUGUGUUUGACCUUGGAUCACCCAGGUAAAUCUAUUGUUUCGCUUGCAUUUGGACAAGCGGUAGGAAAAAUUGUACUCAAUGAGGACUUAGGAAUUACACGAUGAAGAGGUACAUUGUGAGCAUUUCACAUGUUAUGAUCAUGCCCUAUGACUCAUCGCCUAGAAUGGAAACAUGCGAUACAGAGAGUUAAGAUGAGCGCAUUACACGCCAUGACUUGACUCCAUGACGUAUUGCAAUUGUAUUGUACACGCAUGAACUUAUUAAGUCCAAAAUAGUCCCAACCAGUAAUGUAUAGCUUAAAAGAAUCUUAUCAAAAAUGUUGAUGAAAUAGGAGAUUUAAACAUUAAACAUAAGAACAAAUCGUUUAAUAAUAGAUGAAAGAAAAUGUGGAAGAGGAGAUGAAGAAAUCAGAAAGACGAAUAAUAAAGAGAAGUGACAAAUUGUAUGCAAUAUUCAAGGCACACUACUAGAAAAAUGAGUUUUAAUGACACUGCUAAUCAAGACAUUGUGUCGUUGAAAAUAAAAAUAGGGUGGGGUGAGGUAAAUUGUGUUGUGAAAAAUAAAAAUAUGGAUUAUUUCUUGACACAAUUUUUGCAUUGUUAAUUAACGAUAAAUUUUUUUGUGUCAUUAAUUUCCAAAGUAAAAAAUUUCUAAAUGAAAAAAUCCCAAUUUUUUUUUGAAUUUCCCUUCCUCACGCAAUUAAAACUAAAUAAAAACCUCAAAUUUUCACUCAAGCAAAAAUGCUGCCGUCGAACAAAGCCUUAAUGCAAUUUUUUUUUCUCUCCUUACCAAAAACACAAAAAAUUCUUGUCGAAUGAAGUGGGCUACUGCGUUGUUGUGACGAACCUUUGCCUUCCAAUUUUCUGCCACCCGUCGCCGUCGAUUCCACACUCCAGCCACUAUCGUCAUUGCCACCACAAUAAGCCUUCACCAUCAAACCCACCAAUCUAGCCACUGCCGUCGAAUAAAUUUAUAGAAAUAUGAGUUUUAAUGACACUUGAAAUCAAGAAAAAAGGGUGGAAGGGAAUAAAAUGUGUCGUUAUGAAUAAAAAUGCAAAUUUUUUCGUGACACAAUUUUUUCGUCGUUAAAUAACGAAAUAAAUUACGUGCCAUUAAAAAUUAUCCUAAUAAAUAAUCAACGUUUUUCUUCAUUCGUACGCUUUCUGAUUUUAAAAAAAUAAUUUGACGCUUUCAUCCUUCUUGCGAACAACGAUUGAAAAAAACCCUUACUUCAUCCCACGUCGUCGCUGUCUUUUCUCUUUCACAAACGCUCUCCAGUGUCAUUUUUCUCUCUCUCGCAAACGCUUUUCACAAAUUUUCCUCUCUCAAAAGCUCUCUACCCGUCUUUUGAAGCAGCUCAGCAAAUUUGCAGGUAAUUGGAAAAUUCGUGGAGCAUGAGAUCGAUCAAGUCCAUUUAUGAGUAAGUUUGAUUAUAUUAGGUCUUGUAUAUAUGUAUUACAAUUAAUUUAUCUUUUGGAUUAUUGAAAAACCAUUAUGGACAAUGUAAUUUACAUUUCUCUUAUUAUUAAUAAAAAAUCUUUCUAAACAUACGUGGGUUAGUUGAAUCAUGUACUUAAUUUAUAUAUAUCUAUCAUUUAUAUGUCUAAAAAAUAUUUGUUGUCACUUGAAAAAUAACAAUGUCAAAGAAGUGUCGACAUAUAAGUCUUUAUUAAAUAGAAACAAUGUUGUAACCAUCAUGAGUUGACUUAGUGGUAAAAAGUUUAAAAAAUUAACUAAGAGGUCAUGAAUUCAAUCCAUGGUGGCCAACCAACAUUGAAAUUAAUUUCUUACGAGUUUCCUUGACACCCGACCCUGUAGAAUCUGACAGAUUGAAGAUUCUCCUAUUCAUAAUUUUGGUUUAAUAAAAACACAAACCCUAUCGAUACUCAUAAAUAUACACGUGUUAGUUGAGUUAAGUUCUAAUCUGAAAAUUUAAUUAAACUAAUUUUAAGUUAGGUUUGGGUAUGGAAUUAUUUCUGUUAUUGCAUAAAUUCAUUGAAUCUCCAACAAAAAAAGUUCAAUUGCUUUUAUUUUGAUUUUAGAGAAAAUGAAAAAUACAAGAACAAAUUAUAUACCAUAAAUGAAGUAAGUUUGUUGUUUGAUAUAAGAAAACUAUAACAAAAAAAAAAAAAAACUUAUCUUAACUAACAGUGGUAUGUAAUUUUCAAAUACUUUUUACCUAAUUUAUACUAAAAAAUGUAAAACCAUAUCUACUUUUGUGCUCCAUUAUAUACCCAAGAAUACAUAAAUAAAUUUGGAUCUCAACUUUUUUAAGUGAUAAAAAGCAAUGAAAAGUAAAAACCUCUUUUCUUUCUUAGUCAAAAUGUAUAUGGUCAAAGCAUCAUAUUCCCAUGAAAGUAGCCCUCCUUAUAAUAUUCAUUAUAACUUUUGUUGUUGUUUCUUGCCUAAAAUAAUUCACUUUUAAAAAAUAAAUUAAAAUAUUUACGAGCUAUAACAAAUUUUUGGAUUCUAUCAACGAUAAAAAAUGGAUAGACUUUUAUUGUUGUCUAUCAAUGCCACUAAUAGAAGCAUACCGGUGUCUAUGUAUUUAUUAUUGAUAGAUUUUGAAAAUUUUAUUAAUAUUUAUAAAUAUUUUGUCAAAUUUGUUAUUUUUGAAAAUUUUCCUUAAAAAUAUUUACUAAAACUUUUAUUAAUGAUAGACAGUGACAAACUUUUAUAAGUGUCUAUCAGUAUCACUCAUAGACUUUUAUCAAAUGUCUAUGUAAGUUUUUGCUAUAUUUUAUAAUAUUUUAGUUCAUUUUGUUAUAUUUAAAAAUAUUUUUUUAAUAACUAGACAUAUAUUAUUUACAUAAAUGAAUUUUGCAUAAAUGUUUGAUAAACUACUAAUACACCAAUGUCAUAUUAACAUUACAUUAUUGAUGAUCUUUUUAAAAUUUAUUUUAAAUUAAGACUAAUAUAUUAUUGAAUUAUUUAUAUUAUAUUUUAAAUAUACUAUUUUAUCAUGAUUUUAGAGUAAAAUGAACUGUAAUAUUUACAAACAUAGACUAAAAUUGCAUGAAAUAAAAAGAAAUCCAAACGGGGCAUUCAUUUUUCUUACACGUGGGUAAAUCCAAACCCGGCAUGCUUUUAUAAUAGUUUGAAGGAUUUGUCUUUGGAUUCCUCCACUUUAAUAAAUGUAAUUUUGGGGAGAAAGAAGUAAAAGUGGAAAAAGAUAAAACUUUCCACCAUCCGUUUGUUUUAUUCUGUUGAGACGAUGUGAACUUUUAUUUAUAAGACUUCUUUUGGGGAACUGUGAGAACAAUUCAAUAGUAAUUAAUUUUCAUAAAUAUAAGAAAAUCUAAAUAUUUUCUACUUGUCUAACAAAAUAGAAAAGUGUAACCAUUUUAUUUUAAAUAUUUCAAGUUUGUUUUUCAUUUCUUUUUAUUUUCUAUAAUUUUUCAUUUUUUUCAUCGUUUUUCUUAUCUUCUUUUUAUGCAGUUUUUUCUAUACAUAUAUUUUUUGAAAUCAUGAUCUUUGUUUUCAAUGAAUCAUAAAUCGUGUAUUUUUCUUCAAAGUGUUAUUUGGUUCAAGAUCGUGUACCAAAUAUAAAAUAUCAAUAUACGAUCUUGAUUGUUUUGGCUACAACCAAAUCUAACAAAUAUAAAAGAUAAAAAAAAAAUCAUUGGAUAUUGCUACACGAUUAUUUAGAUUUGGAUAUAUAAAUCUAAACAAUCGUGUAGUCAAAUCUAAACGAUAGUGAAGAAAAGAAUCUUAAAAAAAUUGUUUGAUAUUGGUACAAUCGUUUAGAUUUGGGUAGCCAAAUCCAAACGAUAGUGUAGCUAAAUCUAAACGAUCGUAUACCAAAUAUAAAAGAAUCUUCAUGUACCAAAUAUAAAUUUUUUAGAUUGAGAUAUUGAUACACGAUCGCUUAGAUAAUUUAGCUACGAAAUCAUUUAUCAAAUAUAUUACCCAUGCAAGUGGUUAAUUAAUCGUGUGUUGACUGGGGUAUUUUUCAUUGUGAGUCUGUGAGUUUUUUUCGUUUUUGAAAGUGUUCUAUAAGUAUAAAUAUUUUAGUGAUUGUUGUUAUAUUUUUGAAAAAACCCAUAGAAAUUACUUCAAUAAUAUUUUUGUUUGUUGAUAGAAGUUCAUACAUUGAUUAACACUGCUCUUGGCUAAAAUAUAUAAAAUUCAUAAAGUUUUUUUUGUUGAUUGUGUUCUAUUAACUUUAUAUCGAUAAUUGAUAUUAAUAGAACUCUUUCAUUGAUCGGCCAUGGUAGUAUUUUAUUGUUGCUUAUCAAUAAUAGAUAUGGAUAUAAAUCUAUCACUCUUUAUAUCAAUAGCUUCUAUCAAUAUCAGUGAUAGACAUUGGUAAGGAAUAAUAUUGUUUAAUCAAUUUCUAUCAAUAAUAAAGAUAAGGUAGUUUGAUUGUGUGUGUGCAUGAUAGUAUUCUAUUGUCGCUUAUCAAUAAUAGAUACUGAUAGAAAUCUAUCACUGAUAUACAAUUAUAGUAUUCUAUCAUUGUAUAUCAAUGAUAAACACUAAAAGGUAGUGAUAGUGUUUUAUCCUUAUCUAUAUCUCUAAUCUAUACUAUAUAAAAGAGGCUAAGGGGGAGAAAAGUUUUAUUUUUCUCCUUUUAGCCCUUUUAGUGACUGAUUAUUGGGUUAUAUUGUCACAUCCCAUCUCAAGCAACUGCUUAAUUGGCCCGGGAUGUGGUAUGAUGUCAGCUAAAGCCAUUCACCUCCGGAACAACUUCAACUGACUCUUAACAUGAAUACAUGAAACAUUUGCUAGCGAAAGUCUUAAAACUUUAAAAUACUUUAAAACCGUAGUGUAACCUAUAUGAAAUACCUUUUAUAAAUGUGUAAAAUAUAUCAAACAUAAAAGUAUAAACUCUUGAAUAAAUACAGUAAUGUUUUAAGCAAAACAAUUCCUUUUAUGAUUUAAAAUUAAGUUGGCCUGACAACAAUAAGUUCAACACGAGGAGAUUCACAGUCUGUACCUAGAAAGAGAAAAAACAUUUUGAAAGAGUAAGUCUAAAGACUUAGUGAGCAAUGAUUUUAUAAAACAAGUUUUCAUAAAACAUUUUAAUAUAAAAUUGAAGCUUUAAAUACAUUUGUCAAUAAACAGUCAUUUGAUAACAUGAUACUAGAAACAUUUGCGUAGCUUUUGUAAGACAAUGUUCCGUAGUCACAGGAAAAUUAAGCCUCCUUGAUCUAUAAAAAUUAAUAUUUUAUCAAUUAAUCCAUUGAACAUGAAAAUAUCCAAAACUUCCCUUAAAUUUUUCAAAAAUUUCAUAACAGCUCAAAACAGUCCAACGGUGAUCACUAACAUAAGGGAUGGGCCUGACCGCAAGCGUAGGACUUGAGGCCUUGCCUCAUGCGUGCUAACCUCAUAAGGGUGAUCACUAACAUAAGGGUGGGCCGCAAACUGCGUGCUAACCUCAUAGAGAGGGAUGUUGCCACGUCCUUGUCGCCUACCUAGCACGCCCAUUGUGUGCCUUAAGCGCGUUAUGCUUCCCGCACACCCUGCGCGCUAACCUCACAACGCAAGGUCAUGCGCGCAACUUGAGCACAUACCUUGCCACUCAGCUCUGCCAUGACCUUCUCACAAAGCUCAAAACCCCACGCCCAUCUCGCCUAGCAUGCAUGAUACUGACCUACUGUCUAGAACUUUAUUUUUCGUCUAGAAAACAUAACCCGACUUUCAAAUUCAUAACAUAAAAUACAUAACUCUUUUGAUAAAACUUCCUUCUACAAAGGUGUUCUAAAAUGUCUUAAAUUUCUUAUCUCAAAAUAUUAGAGCAAAAAUAAAAAAGGCGAGUUCUAUAGCCCUCUGGGAAUGCACCUUGCUCAGAUUCUUCUUGAAAAUGACCUCAUCGCUUUCUUUGAAUCAAAACACAAACUUUCUCGCAUCCAACUUGAGCAAAAGCCCUAUAAAACUAGACAUAAUUUCUAAGCUUUAAGACUAAUUUGAGUGAAUUAACACGUGUGAAUUGUAUGAAAUCCUUUGUUGAAGUUGCGUAUUUAUAGGAAGCCUUGCAUGAAAAUAUGUUGACAUCUCAUUGUUGAUUAAACUCACCUCUUAAGCUCCAAAUUACACCUUGAUAAAAAAAUGUGUAUGUAGUAUGAUUAAGACACGUGUAUUAGUCCUUAAACCAAUUGUCUUAAAACAUGCCACAUUAUUGUCCUAAUGCAUAGCCUUGGCCGUCUAGCCUUCUCGCCUACUAACCUCUAUAGCCUUCUCGCAUGGCCUUGUUUAGUGUGGUCUUGCCGUCCAAUGAAAAGCCCUAAACGAAUGCUAACCUCUAAACUCAUUUUGCAUGAUAUGCUCCUCUCCUAGCCCAUCAACGCCGUAAAUAACCUCAAAUAAAUCUUCUUGUGUGCCAUGCUUCUCACCCAUACUAACCUCACAAGCCUUCUUGCCAAGUCAAAAUACCUUGUGGGAAGCUCUUGCUAACCUCCCAAGUCAUCUUGCCUAACAUAAAUCCAAGUCUUUGUUCGCCUAUUAGAUCUUACCUAGAGGUUAUCUAAUGUCCUUGGUCGCCUAAUGCUUUAUUCAAAAUAACCUCUAAACGACUAAUGUGCCUUUCUUUGACACUUAGCCAAAAAUUUUCAACUUUUCUCUUUCUCUUAACCUAGCUAAACCUUAAUUCUUAGUCUUUCCAAGUGAUUUUACUUUCCCUUUCUCUUGUCCUAACCAAAAUUUGAUAAGUUCCAAAGGUUUUUUUUUUUUUUUUUGGGUUUCAUAUGUAUCACUAGAAGAGAAAAGUUUUCCCAAUACACCAAAUGCUUGUUGAGAGAGGGGGCAAGGAGAAAGGGUAUCUUUCGACAAGCUUAAAAGCAUGCGUCAGGAGUAAGCCAUAACUCCCAAUGCCGUAUAAAUCAUCAAAAGUUAGUUAGGAAAAAAUGAUUUAAAGAGAUAACUCUCGACGUUGUUAAGAAGAACAUUUAGAGUUAGCUAAUAACUUCCGACUAAUUAAUUACACACCAAAUUUUCAAAGAGAGCUUUCGAUGCUCUUCAUAAGACAUUGAUAACUUGUUGAAAUACAAGUUAUUGUGUUCUUUUAGGUAAAAAAAAAUGGAGUCAAAAUGCAUGAUAAAGAACCAAAAUGCAUAAUUUUUAGUGCAAAUUUAUAAUGUUAAGAGAAUGCACUUUACAUAAGUCAACAUGCUUGAUUAAUUAACUCCUCAACAUAAUGGAGUAGUUGAACUAAAAAAAUAGAACUGUGUAAGAAAUGACCAGAGUUAUGUUGCAGGCAAAGAGAAUUCCUUUAUAGUUUUGGACAGAAGCUCUUAAUAUAGCUUGCCAUAUGCAUAACAAAAUUGCCUUGUGAUUAGGAACUUCAUGUACUAUUUAUCAACUAUGAAAGGAAGAAAACCUACUGUAAGAUAUUUUCAUAUUUUUGGUAGUACUUGUUACAUUCUUGUCGAUUGUGAGUAUCACAAAAAAUGGGAUACUAAAUCUGAUAAAGGAAUAUUUCUGGGCUAUUCUUAACAAUAGAGCAUGCCAUCUCUUUAACAAAAGAACCCAAACAGGUAAAGAAACUAUCAAUGUCGUUAUAAAUGACAAUGAAAAAAUUCUCGUAGACGACCAUACGAUGACAAAAUCUUCUAUGACAAUCUAACUCAAAAGAAUAAAGAAGUUCCUUUAGAUGUUCCUAAAAACAAUAACAUCAGUAAAGACAAAUAAUUCACAACCUACUACCAGUUCAAUAGAAACCCUAGAAACGUUAUAAGGAAAUGCUCAUUCCACCCUAUUCAAAAGAAUCAUCCCUAAAAAAAGAAAGAAAGACAAUUGAUUAUGCCAAAUUAAUUACUAACAUUUGCUAUACAUCUCAUAACAAACCAAUUUCUAUGAAUGAAUUAUAUUCUUUAUAAAUGUCAUGCAAGAAGAACUUAUACAAUUCAAGAGAAAUAAUGUUUAAAAUCUACUCCCAAAACUAGAAUGAAAAAACAUUAUUGGGACAAAAUGAGUUUUUAAAAUUAAAACAGAUGAAAGCGGUUCAAUAACAAAAGAUAAAACAAGACUUGUAGCUCAAGGUUACUCCAAAACUGAAGCCAUUGAUUUUAAAGGAAUCUUUUCUCUAAUAGCUAGAUUCGAACCCAUUCGCUUACUACUUGACAUAUCUUGUCUACAAAAAUUUAAACUAUAUCAUAUGGAUAUAAAAAGUGUCUUUCUUAGUGUAUACUUAGCCUAAAGGAUUCACAAAGGAUUCACGGAUCUUAAAUAUCCUCAACGUAUCUACAAACUUAACAAAGCUCAAACAAGUUCCUUAGACUUGGUAUAAAUGACUUACUAUCUUCUUGGCACACAAAGGAUAUACUCGAGGAGUAACCGAUAAAACUUUGUUGACAAACAAAUCUUAUAAAAACUUUAUUGUUGCCCAAAUCUACGUUGAUGACAUAACUUUUGUUGAAUUUCUUGAAACAAUGGUAAAUAAUUUUAUUGAUCACAUGCAAUCUGAAUUUGUGAUGAGCAUGAUUGAGAGUUAACAUUCUUUCUUGGUCUUCAAAUAAGGUAUAAUGUAGAUUCAAAGACAUAAAUGUCUGUAAGAUUUCUCAUGCUUAAUCCAGAUUUAAUUAGUACUCUAGCUUGGAUGUAUUUAACUUUUUGUUCCAAUGUAUGAGUAUUUUCAAAUCUCAAUUAAAUUUGAGUUUUGGUCUCCUACUGCAUAAGGGUUUUUGUCCUUUUAGUUAUCUAAUUAUUGAUUAAAAAUAACUAAAAAAACUAGUAAUGUCUUUUAUUAAUUUUUUAUGAAAAUUUUUCUUUAAAAUAAAUGAGACAUUUUUUAAAAAAUAAACUAGCGGUUAAUCAUCUGAGGAGAGACAUGAGAAGAGUAAGAAUGAGGAAAGAGAGAAAUUUUUUUAAGAGCCAUUUGCACACAAAAUAUAUUAAAAGGAAAAUUGAGUCUAUGACCCAACAUUUUAAAAGGGAUAGUGACAAAUUUAGCAAUUAAAUUCAAAUUAAUUAAGUAUAUAGCACAAUUUUAAAAAAUUUGUAAUUAUAGCAAAAUUUGUCAAAUUCUAUCAGUGAUAUAAGUCUAUCACUGAUAGAUCAUGUUGUAAAUAUUGGUCUAUCACUGAUAUACCAUAUGAAGUCUAUCAACGAUACAAGUCUAUCAGUGAUAGUUUUACUAUAUUUGCAAUUUUUUUAAAAUAUUGCUAUAUCCUUAAUUAUUAUUGCUAAAAUAGUCAUCAAUUGCAAUUUCCCUAGUUAAAAAUGUAAAACUACAUUUGAUUACCAUAUGAUUGUUAUCAAAUUGUCAUCUGAUUACCACUAAUUAUCAAUGAUAUCGAUUGUUGUUUGAUUGUUAUUUGAUUACUAUAUGAUUGUUAUUUGAUAUUCAUUGUUAUCUCAUAUUUAAUGAUACCGAUUUACCAUCUCGUUGUUAUUUAAUUGCAAAUGAUAUCUUUUUUUAUAUAUAAUUACUAAAUAGAAUUAGACAAUCAUCUUAUUACCUUCAAGUUUUUGUCAACUAUCAAGUAGUUAUUGACUAUCAUCAUAUUGUCAUAUGAUUAACUUCCUUUUUUUUUUGUCAAUUGUCAGUAUGAUUUUUUUUUUUUUUUUUUUUGCAUUAUGAUUGUGUAAGACUGAUAACUUGUAGAGAUGCAAGUUAUUAUAGUCUUUUGGAUAGAAUAAUGAGACCAAAAUGGAUAAGGAGUGUAUCAAAACAUGUUACUUAUGUAGUAAAUUCAUAAAUAUUUAGAAAAUACACUUUACAUAAGCAUCAUGCCUAUACCCGAUUUAUAGUAUCUAAACACAGGCUAAAGAACAAAAGAAUAAGCUAGCGAAUGACAGAGGAACUCGUGCGAAGAUUAGGAGAAAAGACCACAUCAGAACGCAUAAAGAAGUUCACUAAAAGCCAAAAGUGGUAGAUGGAGUUGAUGUGACUUAACAACAAAGGCAGUGAUAACAUGCAUAAAUACGUAUUAUUACAACCUCUUUUAUUAGAAUAAUGAGGUCAAAACACAUGAGAAGAUGACCAAGAGGUGUAACUUACAUUGUAAAUGUUGGGAUUUAUGUUUUAAAACUCAUAGAUUGUAAAUAUAAUCCAUUGACCGUUGUUAAUAAAGUGUUAUUAUUGUAAUACUUGUUAUUGAUUAUAUUAUUAGUUUUGUCUUAAUAACCCAAAUCCAAUAAACUAACGUCCUAAGCUUUUUUAUGAGACUUGAACAGUUUGUAGAGACAUACAUGAAUCAAUGUUCGAGAUAAACUUAAAGGGUCUAUAGUAUAGAGAUAAGGCUGGGUAUCUUACCCUGGUAACACUAUGGAUACAUCUGACUUUAUAUUUGAUACAAACACAAUGAUCCAACGUGUUCAUGUAGUUGAUAUGCGAGUGAGAGUAUCCUAUGCAAUGAGUUUGCAUUAGAUCGGACCGCGAAAUAGUAACCACUAGAUGUAACUCCGUUAAUUAGGUAGAUUUCUAUUUUAUUGGUUGUAAUUUGAAAUGUUCAAAAUUACUUUGGGAAUUAGUUUAAUGUAUAGUGAUACAUUAUAAUAUAAAGUUUAUCAAACUUUAUUGUAUAAAUUUAAUUUUGAAUAUGAUUCAAAAUUAGUUUAUGAGAGAUAAAAUAUUUGAAUGAGUUCAAAUAUUAAUUUAACGUGAAUUAAAUUCAUAUUAAAAUUAUUGGAGAAAUAAUUAAUAGUUUAGUUUUAUUUUAUAUAAUUAAAUUUGAUUUUUAUUAAAUUAAUAUAAAACUAUAAUAUAUUGGAGAGAUAUUCAUUAAAUAUUUAAAUAAAAUAUUAAUUAAAUAUGAUUUAAUUAAUUAUCAACUAAUUAAUUAAUAGAUUUAAGAUUUCUAUUAAUUUUCUAAAUUAGUAGAAUCUCAUAUUUCUCUCUUACUCCAUUUCCUACUCCAAGAAGGAAAGAAAAUUAUAAAUAUGUAGAAGAAAACGAUUUUCUUUAAUCAUUUAAUCAAGAAAAAAAAAUCAAUGCUUUUGGUAUUUGCCAAAAGAAAAUAGUCUCUCUAGACAUUUUUUCCAUCUCAAUUGGUUCCCACAAAUCAAUCUCAUUCUAAAGGAUAGGAAGGUCUACGACGGGUGGUGUCCCAAUUUGGAGAUGUAUUUUGUAGAUCCAGAGAUAUAAACAAAUAAGUUUUUCUUUAUCUAAUCUAUAAUUAGAAAACAUGCUUAGUCUUUUAAGUCUAGUUUCUUAAUUUUUUUUUGUCAAUAUACUGAUAUUUUGGGAUUUUCAAAUUAAUUUGAGGAAUUAUUCUGUAAAAUUUUUUGCUGCCAUAGGGCUUUUAUCCCUUUAAUUGGUAUCAGAGCCAUCUCAAAUUUUAAUUUUCCAAUUCAUUUGAUUAAAGUUUUAAUUGGAAAAUUAAACUUUACAAUGGUUAGGUGAGAUUUUUUUUUUUAUUAUGAAAAGUUGUUUGCAAGAUAAAUGUUUUCGAUUUUGAUAUCUUAGAUUAAAGUUUUUCGUUAAUUUGAUUGAUGCAAGGGUAUGUUGUUUUGGACAUUUUAAUUAUGUAAUCGAGUUUGUAAGCUUGUGUCGUUUGAUGACAAGAGUUGCAACAAUGUUUGUUUAUGAAAAAAAAGGAAAAUCGAGAAAAAGAAAUAUAUCUUUUGCGCAUCUUUGUUAUAUUAUAUUUUUGUUUUUGGUGUAGUGGAAUUUCAUUCACCAUUCAUGCAUAAGGUUUUUAGUUCAAAUCUUGAGAUUGAAGUUUUUUUUUCUUCAGUUAUUUUAUUUUAAUUAAUUAAAUUUUUUUAGUUAUUUUAUUUUAAUAAAUUAAAUUAAUAUAAUAUAAUUAUAUUAAAUGACAUUUUUAAAAAUAGCAAAAUAAAUUAAAAUAUUUACAAGUUAUAGCAAAAUUUUGGAUUCUAUCAAUAGUUGUCUUCUAUUACUAUAACAUGUGAAUGACUAUUAAUGAUAGACUUUACUAUAGAUUGUAAGUAUUUUGUAAAAUUUGCUAUUUUUUAGAAUCUUCCUCGUAGUAAUUUGAUUUUUUUGGGUGCUAAGUUCAGUUUAUUUUGUUAUUUAUUCUAUUAUUUUAUAUGAUGUUUAAUUAAUUAUAAGCAUAAUUUAUGGCAUAUAAUUUAAAAUUCCACCGUAAAAUUAUAACUAUCAUGCGUAAUUCUUAAAUAUAAGUGUUAUAUUUUAGUUGUAUGAUUUUCUAAGUAUGUUCAUGCAUUUUUAUAUAUUAUAAAUGUUAUAAUAUAUGAUAUUAAUGCAUGAUUAUGAAUUUCAUGAGUUAUUUAAAGUAUGUUGAAUCUUAAAGGGAAAUUUUUAAAAAUAGCAAAUUUUACAAAAUAUUUACCACAUGUAACAAAUUAUAUUACUGAUAACCUUGAUAUGCUAUAGUGAUAGAAAAAUAUCAUGGAAAAAAUCCAAAAUUUUGCUAUAGCUUGUAAAUAUUUUAAUUUAUUUUGUUAUUUUUAAAAAUGUCCCAUUAAAUAUAUGAAAUAGAAUAAACAUGAUGCAUGACAUUAGUUAGUUAAAUAUAAUUUUUUUGUAUUUAAAUUAAUGUCUUCUGUAUGGUUGAUUGAUUUUAAUGUAUUAAUUUUUUUAAUAUAAAUGUUAUAUUAAUUAAGCUCAAAAUCAAUUUGUAUUGAACAAAUUACAACCUAGAUUAAUAUAAUUGUUAUAUAUAAUGUAAUGUCUUGCAUGCUCCAUGGUUUAUUUCUUAACUAAAAUUUGUUUUAAUUAAUUAAACCUUAGUAUGCAUAUUAUACGACUAAUUACUUAAUUUUAUAAUAGUUAUAACAUUUGAUAAUUAGAAACCGUCAACCUAUAAUAAAGAGUUGCAUGCAAACAUAGGCUCUCAUGAGUAAUUUGAUUUAAUUUUUAAAUUAUUUAAAAUUAAAUAGACGUAAGAUCAUAUUAAUUCAAUUCUAAUAAGAUUAGAAUUAUGUCUUAUUUUAGUUUAAUGAAACUAAUUAGGACAAAUAAGAUUUAAGGUUAUAAGGAAACUCCAUCGGUAAAGUUCUGUCUAAGGCUGGAGGUACUUAAGUUGACAGUUUACGACCUCCUACUUGAGAACUGGGUAGGACCAGACGUUGAAUUAACCUUAUUCCUAUUAAGCAUGAGAUGUUACUAGGUAAAUUAAAUGAUUUAAUACACCUAGAAACUUUAAGUGUAAAUAUGAUUUAAGACUAUAAGAGAAUUCCACUGGUAAAGUUAUGUCAAAGGAUGAGGGUACUUAAGUUGACAGUUUACAGAACACCUACCUGGAAACUGACCCAGAACCGACGUUGAAUUAACCUUAUUCCUAUUAAGCAUGAGAUGCCACUAGGUAAAUUAAAUGGUUUAAUAUACCUAGACACUUUAGAGUAAAGUUUUAUUAUAAGAGUUAUAGUAAGAAUAGACUUAGACAUAUUCAUUUAGCCGAAAUUUAGUGUAACGACUCAACUCCUUAUACUAAGUUGAGGUCAUUAUCACUAAAACAAAUAAAGACUUUUUUAUUUAAAUCAAAGAAAAUACUAAGUUUUAAAAGAAACACUUCAAAUAGUUAUUCAUAAAGUAUAAGUAAAGUAUGUAAAUAAAACAAUAAAUAAAAUAUUAGUUCGUGCCCUAUUUAAAAUAAAAAAAAUAUCUAAAAGUAAUCAUGAGUACUAAAAUAAAUUUAUGAAAAAUUUAAUAUUGAAAACAUAAAUGCAGAAGAAAAGAUAAACUGUCCCCUAUGGAAAACCACAUUGCUUCUUGUCAUUCAUUAGCUUGCCUUUACCUCUACCUUUGCUUGAAAAUUAAACAUAGAAAAGUGAGUAUAAAUUUAUACUGAGGAAGGGACUAACUACUAGUUCCACUACGUGUCAGUUAACUUUCUGUUAGUGUCCAGUAAGAAAGUACCACAUAUCUAUUGUGCUCCCGAACACACACUAUCCAGUGAUCCCGUAGGGACACAUCUGGGCUCUCGUUGAACAUGAAGGAAUCACCCUAAAGGAGAGUCAGGCUAUAAGUGAUUCUGUUAAAUCACACAUAAAAUCUAGCCACACAUGCAUAAAUAAGUGGUGAUCUUGAGGGAGACCCAAAUUGUACGACUUUAACAAGUAAAGCUAAGAGAACAUCAUAGCCUAUACAUAUAGCAUAACCUAAAUAUCAUAUCUCAAUCGUAAUGUAUCUCAACCAUAGUAUAUCUCAAUCAUAACAUAUCAUGGUCAUUACAUAUCUCAAUCAUACAUAACGAUUUUCUAUGUAGCUAUUGUUAUCUAACAUACUUAACAGUCACAUCACAGGCAUCAUAACUAUGUUAAUGCAUACUAAAGGAAAACAUAAUGUAAGGGUCUAAUAGUAGAAUCUCUUACCUGGAGAUUAGCUGAAAAAAUAUAGUUCCUUCUUGACAGUCAAUUUCCAAUUAAUUCAGUCCUAAACAUAAACAAAAUUAAAAUUAUUAAUUUUGUCAACCAUCAACCAACUAUUUAAUUAAGCAUCCAAACUUAUCCAAACUUACCUCAAGACUUAGGUUGAAUCCAACACAACCUUGAAUUGGAUUAUAUUAAACUUAUUGGCUAUGGAAGAAACUUUUAUUUGAAUAUGAUUCAAAUUUAAUUUAAGUUAAAUAUAAUAUAUUUAAUAGCUAUUAAUUAAUUGAAGAAUUAAUUAAUAGUUUAGUUUUAUUUUAUAUAAUUAAAUUAAAUUAAAUUAAUAUAAAACAAUGAGAUAUGGAAGUUAUAUUCAUUAAAUAAGAUUUAAAUGAAAUAUUAAUUAAAUAUGAUUUAAUUAAUUAUUAACUAAUUAAUUAAUGGUUAAUUAAUUAGUAUAUUUGAAAUUUUUAUUAAUUGAAUAUUUUUUAAAUUAAUAGAAUUCCAUGAUUCUAUCAUACUCCAUUUCCUACUCCAAGAAGGAAAGAGAGUUAUAAAAAUGUAGAAGAAAACAAUUUUAUUUAAUCAAUUAAUAAAGAAAAAAAAGUCAUUGCUUUUGGUCUUUGCAAAAAGAAAAUAGUUUCUGUCUAAAUAUUUUUGUCAUUCGAGUUAGUUUACACAAACCAAUUUCAUCCCAGAGGAUAGGAAUGUCUCCGAUGGAUGGUGUCCCAAUUUGAAGAUUUACUUUGUAGAUUUAGAGACAUAAACAAAUAAAUUUUUCUUUCUCUAAUAUAUAAUUGGAAAGCAUGCUUAGCUUUUAAGUCUUUAAUAAGAAAACUAGUUUCUUAAUUUUUUUGUCAAUGCACUGGUAUUUUGGGAUUCCCAAAUUAAUUGGAGAAAUGAUUAUGUAAAAUCUUUCACUGUCAUAGGGCUUUUAUCGCUUGAGUAAAUACAUAAAUAUUUAUAUACUUUACAUAAGCAUUAAGCAUUAUGCCUGUUUUACGUGGUUUUCAUGUCUAAACGCAGAAUUAAUAGAAAUGAAGAAACUAGUGAAGCAGAGACAUUUUGCAGAAGAACUACGCGAUGAGGACUCAUGUGGCGAUUAACGUCUCUAGGCGAGGAACCAUGUCAUCACGCGAGGAAGGCUCACUAGAGAACAAGAAUGGUAGUUGGAGUGAUGUGACCUUAGAGGACCGAAAUUAGUGCUGACAAUCUCAGAGGAGUAGAAGUUUUUCGCCUGAAGCUGUCUAUAAAAGAACACCACCCUCACCAUAAAGAAGGGACGCCUGAAUGGGCAAACCACAUAAAUGGGCGACAUGCUUGUGUGGGCACAAAGAGGUCCUACAUGGACAAAAACCUAGAGAGUUGGUGGCAAGGAUUAGCUUCACCACCAUGUGUACAACACUGUGUUACCUUUUCCAGCCAAAUUGUAACGAGAAAGCUUCAAGUGUGGGAGGAGAAGAGUCCAUCCUCCAUUUCUCUUAACUUGUAUUUCAUUUUCUUCCUCUUUCAAUUUUAUUAUUUCUUUACAAUGUAUUCAUUCAUAUUGUACAUUGACCAAAAACCUUCAUUCUUUAAUACAUUAUAUCUUUAUACCCUCUUUAAUCCAUCCAUGCCUCUAUUGUUCAUCUGUCUUUGUGUUAUUUAUAGUUUAAGUUUAUGAUUUGUUCACAAUAAGUAAUAUUUAUUUGUAUCGCUUAGUGUGUUAAUUGAGCUACAUUUUACAUUUGGUGAGUGUAUGUCGCCAACUACACGAGAGGAUGAGUAGCAAGGAUGUGGCUAACACACGGAAGGAAGAGUUUUCUCUACCUUGCGGAUGCCUUCCUUCAUUUGUAUGUCAAAUGGCAAACAAAUGUGGACAAUAGGCACUGCGAGGUUGCUGUCCUUAAAUGUGAAGCACUCUAAGUAAAAUAAAUAAGUAUUUCAAGAUAUAAAUCAUUUAGUCAAUCUUAGUCAUUUGGAAUUCAAAAGGAGAUCAAGUGUGGCAUUCAAUGACUCUGAGAGGAGCAUGCCUUAAUCAUAAGAUAGCUUGGUGGGUUAUAUUGCAUCAAGGUAGUGAUACAGCUUACUCGCCUGAUAGCUCGAGACCUUCCUUCACCUUUCUCUCGCAUACAAGUUAGUUCGCUCUAUCUUCCAUCUUGCUAUAAUUUAUUCUCUUGUGCAUGAGUCUCUAGGUGUAAGUAAAUAGUCUUAGUUCUUUUUUAAUAUUCUUUUAAAACCAAUAUUGUCAUGAUGCCUAAAUGAUAAGUAGAUCCUAAAACUAAUAUUUGGAACCAAUUUUCUGUCUUCGACCCUGGAUUACCCAGGUAAACCUACUGUUCGCUAGCACUUGGGUGAGCAGUAGGAAAACUUGUACUCAACAAGAACUUAGCUAUUACGCGAUGAAGAGGUACAUAUUGAGCAUUUCACAUGUUGUGCUUAUGACCCAUGACCUAUCGCAUAGAAGUGUGCGCACAAUACAUAAAGGUAAGGAGAGUAUUUUAAGUGAUGACCCUACUUCGUGACGUAUUGCAAUUGCACUAUACAGAGGCAAAACUACUAAGUCCUACUUUUACACCGUUAACUAAAUGGUGACGAAGUGGGAUGUACGUUGAACCAAUAUGUGUUAAUUUGACAUGAGUUGAUAAAUUAAUAGUAGAAAAAAAUGGUCAAUUAUUUUGGAUUAUGUUCUAUUUCAUUUUAGGUGAUAUGUUACUUUGAAUUGUUGUAGUUUACUUUUGAUUUAGCAUAGAGAAACUUGUUUUGGAUUAUGUUAAGGCAAUCUACUUAUAUUCUUUCUAUGUAGUGGUCAUUGGACACUUCUGGCUAUUAACGCAUACGAUGAGAUAGUUUAUUAUAUUGACUCACUUCGAACAACAUCGAGAGUAGAUAUUAGAUACGUAACUGACACGUAAGUAAGCUUUUUUAAUAUAUGAUGUUUACCGUCUUAAAGUUCACUUCAUGGCUAAAGUGUAGUUGUUUCUUGCAAAUAAGGCUAUUACUAUCUUUCACUCUCAGAAAAAUAUUCAAUCAAAUUGAAAACAGUCAAUAUGGAAAACAUUAAAGGUAAAGUGUAAACAUAUUUAUUUGUUAAUUAAAAGUAUACGGUAUAUGAGCUAUCUGCACCAUUAAAUAUAUAUUUUGGUAAUUUAUGUAUGUACAAUGUCCUUUGCAAGUUGGAGUAGUUGAAUGUGGGUACUAUGUGAUGAGAUACAUGAGAUAUAUAAUUACUAAUGGGAGCAUAGUAGUCACAGAUUUGGUAUGUUGUGUUUAAAUGAUUGUUUGAAUUAUUUUCUACAAUUUUCAAGUAAUCAAAGUAUUAAUUUUAAUAUUUUGGGUUUCAUAUCAGAUUGAUAUAAGGAGCUCAUAUAGUCAAUUCGAGUUAGAUGAAGUGCACGUGGAGCUUGCUGAUUUUUUGGGUGGCCACAUUUGAUUUUAUGGUGAUUAUAUAUUUUUUGGGUUAGAUAGACAAGUUUUGUUGAUACUGGAUAUAGGUGUGAUCGAUAUUUUGUUGAUAUACUUGAUAUAGCUAGGUUAAUUAGUUUAAUUGAUAUUUUGUUGAUACACUAUAGUUAGGCUACACAUAGAUGGAAAGUUUAGGUUGUUGUUAGAAAAGUAUAGGCUAACUACAUGUAUGUAUAUGGUUCAUUGAUAUAUGUUAAAAUAUUAUUAUAGUUCUUUGAUGGAAAAAGUUUACUUCAUUCAAUUGUUCAAUUAAUGUGUACUUUAGCACAUUUGUUCGUGUACUCUCUUGCUUUACUUAUAUACGUUCGACAUUGUUGAACUUCAAAACAUAUGCACGAUAAAUUAUGAAGAUAUUUUAAAAUAUAUAAUUUAAAAAAAAACUUGAUAUGCAAAACGUGUUAAGAGUAAAACAAACUCUGGACAUAUUGUAAGAAAUGUCAAUAAAUCUUAUAUAAUUGAUGUUUAUAAACUGUCAAGUAUAAUUCUACUUGACGCUUAAAAUCUGUUAAACAAAACCACUCUUGUUCUUGACACUUGAUUACUUGACGAAUAAAAAACAUAAAGUAAUCUCAUAUACUUGACGCUUUUUACUUGUCAAGUAAACUGACUUUACUUGACGCUUAAAAACUAUCAAGUAUACCUCCUUUAUUCUUGGCACUGGAUUACUUGACACAUUUAAAAGCAAUCAAGUAAAUAAAUACUUGACAGUUUUUAAGCAUCAAGUAAGGUCAGUUUUGUAGUAGUGCCAAUUUGCUCAAUUCUAACGUUGUAUGUAAUUAUUUGAUAAUUUUUUGUGCAAUAGCUACUAUCUUUCGUAUACAUUUAAUUCUUUAAACGACAACCCGACCUAAAAAUCGUUCUCUCAAUCCCUUAUAACACAACUAAUUAAAUAAUUAAAGUCAUCAUACAGUGGUUAUAUAUAAAUGAUAUACUUUUAUAAAUACAACACAUACAAGAUAAACACAAAUGAAAGCAACAUUUGAACAAUAAAAAACACCUAGUGUACUUUUCCCUUUUUUGCUACCCAAUAGCAUACACUAUUACAAGAAUUGAAUUCUCAAACAAGAUUAAAACAAUGAACAUUAAUUAAGAACCUCUUUUAUUUUUUAAUUCAAAGCAUAUGGGUCAAAGAAUCAGACGCUCAAAAAAGUAUCCAGCAAUACAUAAUAACUUUUCUUGUUAAAAUGAAAUGGAUAACCCUAAAACACUUUUGAAAAGUUUUGAACUUAUCUUAUACCACAAAACCUAAAGUAGAUGUUGAUACCACAAAAACUAGUAUAAAUAUAGAUCAACCAAAAGAAAGAAGCCCCAUCACAACAAAACUCUCUCUUAGCAAGCAUAAAUAUCAAAGAAGUGAUACGAAGAUGAGCAGCGACUCAAAGAAUGAUAAGUGGAUCCAAAUCCCUGAUACAAAAACACCUUGCGUGAUUGAUCUUGGAAAAUAUGCUGUGGAUGACUACAACAAAGCACACAAAGAUAACCUUGUAUUCAAAAAGGUUAUAAUCGGAUGGUAUUUGGAGAUAGAUUAUGAUAAAACAAAGCUUCGUCUUAUUAUUGAAGUAGUAAACAGUAAGGGAGAAGUAAUAAUAUACGAAGUAGUGAUUGUGGUAGAUGAUAAAGAUGGAAAAAAAGUGAAGACACCCAUUUCAUUUAUUCCUGGGUAUAUAGAUGAGGUGGAUCCAUGGUUAUUUUGGUUUAGAAUUAUUGAUAUUAACGACCCUCAUGUGCAACAGAUCGCCAAGUUUGCAGUGGAAAAGCAUAACCAGGAUAAUAAUGACAGUCUUGUUUACAUUUCCACAAUUGUAUGCUGGUAUCGUUUGUUGAGUCCAAUUUUAAAACAAUAUAAAGUUUAUCUUAAGGCCAAGGAUUGCUUGGGACGUGUGCGGGAUUACGAAGCUUUGGUUGAAGAAGAGAAGAAACUGCCUAAUGCGAUUCUGAAACUUAUAUAUUUCAAAGUUAUACCAAAGAAAUGUUGAAAACUUGCUACAUAUGUGGGUUUUGUUAUGUUAUGUGACGCCCUUGACUACAAAUAUAUAUAAAUAGUCAAGUGCCUUAAUAAAAUAAAGCUUUUUAAAAUAUAUAUUACAACUACAAGAAAACAUGCUGUUAUAGUGGUUUAUUUAGUCUAUAGUAAUGGUUUAUAAACGUUGCAACUCAUCUAUAGCAGCGGUCUCGCUGGCAAAACCGGUGUUGAGAGCUCAAUUGAAUGAUUCAUUUACUCAAUGCUGUGCCUUUUCUUUUUUCCUUUUUUAAAGUUUUAGUUCGAUUAACAAAGUUAUUUUAUGUCAUAACUAGUAGUAUCAUGAUCAAUUUACCUGGAAUGAAAACAAUAUUUGAUGUUUGGUUACAAAAUACGUUUCCUUCCUAAAUUUUAUCAACAAAGUAGCCAUUUACAUUAUUGACUUUAUUUUGUAAUGAUUUAGUACUUUAUUAGUCACAUUAAAGUAAAUUUUAUAAGAAAGAAAAAUUUACAAAGUAACAAAAGUUGGAUAUUUAAUUGAAAGAAAAUUUAUGUUAUGUUUAAUUACCUAAAUUAAACUAUAGUCAGAGGUGCCAAACAAAGCAAUUUGGGGUUAGUGGAUUAAGUAUAUAAUUUUUUUUAAAAGAAGAAAUAAAAUAAAAGAGAAAUGAGAAAAGGAAAAAGUGUUUGUUUAGGUUAUUUAUUCAUUUCUCCUCCAUUUCCAACAUUUUCUGUCCAAGGAAAGCAAAACCAAUAAACUAGCAGCAGUAGCAAGAGGAAAAUUUAGGAGAUUGGUGUGUUGGUGAAGAGGAUUUCUUGGUAGCAGUUUGGUGUGUUGGUGAUUUUGAGCUGUAGAAAUGGAAUUAGAUGCCAAAACUUGUCGGGUUAGAAAGUAAGUUCAAUUUCUAACAACUUUUAUGAAGCAUGCUUGAGCUGAAACUAAUGAAAAGUUGAUUCAAACUGAAGGAGACGAUAGACCCCUGGUUUACGCACGAAUUUGAGAAGUCUUUGAUGUUUUGAGUAGCCCGAAGUGUAAAAGUUAAAUUAAAAGCUCUAAUUGGUCAGAUUAUAAGUCUUAUUCAAUUUCCUACAAUUUCUAUUCAGAACAUUUGAGCUGAAAAUGAUUAGAAAUAGAUGAAAUUUCAGAAGGAAGCUGAAGGCUGUUUGAAAACGUGAAAUUGGAAUCGUCUCUGGUUUGGGGAAGUUCUAGGAAAACCCGUUAAGUUUUAGAUCUUCGUUUCUUCAGUUACAAUGUAGAGGAUUUGAAAAUGAAGAGUUUGGUAUAAAUUUUACUUAAUUUGGUUAAGAACUGAGUAAAUCAUGAGCUGCUGAAUUUAGAAUUGUGAAUAUGAAAAAUUUAGGCCAGAGUUGUGAGGAGUUUAAUUAUGUUUUUUAAGUUGGAAGUUGACAAUGAUAAAUUUUGUAUGCCAUAGUUUGUAUGUCAUGAAAUGACUAGGAGAACUUUGGAUUUUGAUACACGAAUAUAGUUUGUUUUGGCCAGGGAAGAGAAAAUAGAGCAAAUCUAUAGACUAAGGACCUAACCAAUAAAACGUCAGUGAUGAACAUGAGUUUUAAACAAAGUUCUAAAUUUGAUUUACUAAACAUGAGUUUUAAACAAAGUUCUAAAUUUGAUUUACUAAAUUAUAUUUAUAGCAUCCUUUGAGUUAAAGUAUUUUAAAUAUACUAGAUUUAUAAAUGAUUUACAAAGGGUGAGUUUCAAGUUUAGAAAUGAGUUAGAAACAAGCAUAUUUUAGCUGAGUUUACAAAGCAUUCAAGUUUGAGAAAUGUUUCUUUUCACAUGAGAUUUAUAAAUACACGUAGCUGAAUGUUGAUCAGUUUUUAAGAGUAUUAAGCAAAGUUAGAUUUAAAACUUGUUUGAUGCAAGAGAUUUAUACGAGCAUGCUACUUUAGUUGAAUUAAAAUUUGAUGUUUUAGUUUGUAUAUUUGAGAUCUACUGGGUCAUAGUAACUCAUACUUAAAGAAACUCAACAUUCAAAUAAUAAAUCUUAUAUUUAAAAGAAACAUUAAUCAAACUUUUAUAAACUCAACACAAACAUGCUUGCUCCUAACUCAUUUCCCACUUAUAAAUUUAGUAUAUUCAAAAUACUUUAACCCAGAGUAGGCUUUAAAUAUAAUUUAGCACAUCAAGUGUAGAAAUUCAUUUAAAACUCUUUUUUGUCAUUAACAAACUGUUGGUUAGGUAGUUGAUCUAUAGAUUUUUCCUAUUUCCUCUUCACGUGCCAAAACAAACCAAUUACCGGAUAUCAAAACCUGAAGUUUCUAGUUAUUUUCAACUUCCAACUUAAAGAACAUAAUUAAACUCAUCAUAACUUUAACCUAAAAUUUCAGUUUGACAGUUAUAACUUCAAUAGUUUAUACCCUUAGUUAUUAUAUACACAAAAUGAGUCAAGGCAACUAUGGGGUGAACGGACCACAUGGCGGUGAAAGGCUAACCAAUGUGGUUGUGUCAGUGGUCUGAGCAACAAGAAAUGAAUCAGUGGAAUUCCAGAAGAUGUUGAUGAUGAUGUAGUCAUCAAAGUAGUCUAUGGUAUGGGAGUGAUUCACGUCCUUCUUGGCGGAAGGAAUAGUGAAAACUAAUGUGUGUUUUAUGAAAUUGAGACGUUGAAGCCCGUUUUUAAUACAAUACCUUUGCAAAAAAAAAUGUUUAAAAAAAAUCACGAAGAAGAAGUUUAAAAUGGAGGGGAAGGAGAUAAAAAUUAAAAAAAUUACCUAUAGGUUUUCUUUUUCUUUAUUUUAUGUUAUAUUAUAUUUUAUUUUUCAUAAAGUCGUUUUUUUUUUCUUUUUUCAAUUUCUUUUCUUUUCUUUGUUUUUCUACAAAGUUAUUUGAUUUUUUUUGUAUGAAUAGCAAAAUAAUUUUAAAAAAAUUUAAAAUAUAGCAAAUAUAUAAAUAAACUAAAAAGAAUUUGAUGAAUUUUGAUAUAUUUUGUUGGUAGUUUUAAUAUUUUGGUAUUUUGUAAAAUGUUCAAAAAAAUUUAUUUUAGUUUUGAUUCCUAUUUUUUUGUAAAAGAUAUAAACCACAUAAUAGAAAUGCCUCGUAAUUUUUACUGUUUUUCAAAAAAAAAAUUCUAAGCAUAUUUGGGGUAUGACUUCUUCCAUUCAUCUCCAAUUUUGAUAAGAGCACAAGUAUACAAAAUUAUUAGUAUACAAAACUAAAAUUGUUAUCACUGCAACACUAAUUAAUUAAUUAAACUUAAAGAUCCAGCAUAAUCCGAGGCUAUAACUAUCACAAAAUUUACAAGCACACCUACCAUACUAUAUUACGUAUUAAAGUUGUGUGAUUAAAUUAUUACAAAUUAUAGGUACAAUAACUAAAUUGUUAUAACCCAAAAUUCAGACUUUCAUUUUAGGGACGAAAAUGGUUUUCAUCAGUAUUUUUCUCAAUUCAAAAACAUAUAUGGUCAAAGAGAAUCAUAUUCCCAUGCAAGUGGCCGGCCACAAGUAUAAUAACUUUUGUUGUAAAAUGAGAAUUGGGAUAACCCUAAAUUUUGUUUUUGAAAAGUUUAGUACUUAUCUUGUAAAAGGUAAAAGCAAAAUAUAUGUUGAUGCCAAAAACUAGUAUAAAUAUAGAGCAGCCGAAGGGGGAAAAAAGCACAUCACAACAAAAACUUUCUCUAAGAUAUCAAAGAAGAGAGAUAGCAAGAUGAGCUGUGAUUCCAAGAAGACGUGGAUCAAAAUCCCUGAUUGUACUACACCUUGUGUGAAUGAAGUUGCAAAAGAUGGUGUAAAUCAACACAACAAAGCGUCAGGAGAUAGCCUUGUUUACAAAAGGGUUAUUGUAGGCUGGUUUUGGGAGAUUGAUGAUCAUGCAAUAAAGCAUCGUUUGAUUAUUGAAGUAGUAACCAGCAAGGGAGUAGUGUUAAUAUAUGAAUUAAUAAUUGUGGUAGUACAAAAAGAUGGAAAAAGAGUGAGAACACUCAUUUCAUUCCUUCCUGGCUAUCUGGAUGAGAAGAAUCCAUUAAUAUUUUGGAUUAAGAUUCCUGAUGUUAAAAAAAGUUGUGUGCAAGACUGUGCAAAGUGGGCAGUGACUGAACAUAACAAGAUUACUCAUGAUUAUCUAGCAUAUGAUUCAACUGUUGAAGGUUGGUAUCAUGAGGUGAAUCCAUUUGUUAUAAUAUUUAAACUUCAUAUUAAGGCAAAGGAAUGCAUUGGACGUGUGAGGGACUAUAUUGCUGUGGUGAAGGAAGAAAAACCUCUCACUGAGAAAAUUAAGAAACUUGAAGACUUCUAUCUUAUCCGACCAAAGAAAUAAAAGUAGAAAAACUUGCUAUCUGUGCGGGUUUUUGUAUGUCAUGUUAUGUUUACGCCCUUGACUAUAACUAUAUAUAAAUAGCCAAGUGCUCAAUAAAAUAAAGCUUUUUUUAAAUAUAUAUUACUCUACCUAUGUCUAUGGUUUUUUUGUUAAUUUAUAUAUUUUCCUUUUGAAAUGGAAAUAUUGAAUGACGGAACUAACUAAUUGCCAGAUUCUAUGAACAAACACCUAAAAACGGCAUAGUGCUUUUGUUAAUAGCUGAACCAAAAUCUCCAUUGCCACACUGCAAAAAGCAAGUUAACUAGUUCCGGAAAUUGGCAAAAGUAAGCAUCCUCUUAGUUUUACUUUUAAAAGUAGCAUAUUCUUUUUUAAAUUUGUAAAACUAUUUUUCUUGGUCCAAUCUCGGGCGAAACUGACACCGAGAUUUUCGUACAAUUUUAAAAGUGUUCAACUUAACGAUUCUUUUACUUGUUCCGGUACAUCAAAGUAGCCCUUAGACGGAAAUUCUACCAUUUUUUAAGUCUUUUCAAAUCUUAUUUAAAUCUUUUAUCUUUUAAAAAGAUUCGUGGAUAUCGCGGAUACAAAAUUGUAUCGUGAAAGCACAAAUCUCUCCACGAGAGAGACAAAGACUUGAAUGGUCUACAACACGCUCUCUUUUUAGGGAUCCAUUCAAUAGGGGCAAGGUCAUUCUCCUCCUCUAAAGAUUAAUGUAACCCGUACUCAUACGGAUAUGUCAAUUGUGAUAGAUUUUGAAAAAGCAAAUGUCUUUGUUUCGAUAUUGAUAACAGUUAAAAGAAUGUCACGAAUUCGUAUAUUAUGACAUUUUUUCUCUGUCAAGAAUAGGACAAUCAUGACAGUUUUUAUAAAAUUGAACUGUCAUUGUUUCAAUAUUGACGACAGUUAUGAAAAUGCCACAAAUUAGUAUACUAUAACAUUUUUUUUCCUGUCAAGAAUAGUCCAAUCGUGACAAUUUUUAUAAAAUUAAAUUGUCAUUGUUUUUAUAUUGAUGACAGUAAAAAAAUGUUACAAAUUCGUAUACUAAAACAUUUUUCCAUGUUUUAUAUUUCUCAAUUCAUGUUUUUCUUGCCGCUCUGCUAUUACACUAACAAUUUCAAUAAUAAUAAUGUUCUAAUACAUCACUCCUAUAUGAAAACAAAGAGUCAAACUUUAAUAUAUAUACGUAAUUAUAUACUUUGUAAGAUUCGUACACCUGCUGACUAAUAUCACCUAUUGACUAAUAACCAUUUUUUGUUAAAAUGUAAUUUACAUAGAAAAAGAAUAAACAUUGACAUCUUUAGCUACGAAGAAGCCUAAAAUCAAUACAUUUGAACCAAGAGUUUGCUACCAACCAUACAAAAAGUGUUAUAUCAAUCAAUUGCUCGAAGUUGGCUUCACUGCUCCAAUAGAUUCUUCCAACCCUAGUAAGAAAACAAAAUCUCAUUUUAGAGUCUGACUAAAGAACAACCCAGCCCUUCAUUCCAGCCCUCUCCCAACGCAAUAAAAAAUAGUGAAAAUGGCACACACAAAACAUGUCUUUAGCCAAUAGGUCAUAAGUUAAUACUUCCAUUGAUUUAAGAUUGAAACAAAAGGAAACAAUAGUGAAAUUAUAGGAAAAUAACUAGCAUGUCCAAACUUUUGUGAUAACAUUUUCAGCCCCCUCCAAAAUAAAAAACAGUGAAAAUGACACACAUAAAACAUAUAUCCUUAGCCAAUAGAAAAAUUAAGAAAAAGACUAUCACAAUUGUAAGAUAGUCAUAACACUUUAACAUGUUUUUAGGCUCAAGAACUACUAGAACACUCCCAAAAAAGUAAAGUCCAAACUUGUACAUAUAGAGAACCUGAAAUUCUUUGAAUUAUACAAAACUUGUAAAUAUAGUGAAGAAAGUCCAAACCUGGAAUUCUUUGAAGCAGAUUAGAACUAAAAACCAAAUCACUCACGAAAAAUGCAAAGAACAUAACUCUCUUGAACCUUUGAAUUUCAAAAACUUGGAACAUGAAACUUAGAAAAACUUGGAAGUGAAUUUUUAUUUGAAGUUAGAAAAAGAAACAUUAAAGAUUAUUCACUAAAUAUUAUACUAAGACCAAAGAUAUUGAUCUCCAAGAACACUUUUUCAAUAUCAUUUAAUUUAAAUAAUUUUUAUAUACAAAAGCCAAAGCCAAAGCAACUGAUUCUUCACACUGCUUUUCUUUUUCAUUUGCCCACAACUCCACAUACAUAAAACACUCUCUCUUCCACUCCAUCUACAUUUUGAACCAACAACAACAAAAAAGGAUAAUGGAAAAAGAUGUACAUUUUAUCAACUGGAAAGCUAUGAACUAUAUAGAAAAAACACACUUCAAUCUAUAGAAAGUGUUAGAACCCUCACUUUCGGGUUGGGUCAUGGCAUUCUUUCCAUGCUUCAAAACUCUUUAGAAUCCGAAGAGCCCUGCCAUUAAAGCCCACUGAUCAGUAUCAAGAGAAUGUAGACUUUAAAUUUUACAUAAAAAGAAAAUUUAUAGUACCAAGAGUUCUAUAUUUUUGUUCUCCUUGGCUAAAGGUUUAUCUUAAUAAAUAUCUUACAUAAAUAAAAUUCUGAACCUAUUUUUAUGCGCAAAGAAGUAACAAGUUAGAGUAAGUUAGGGAAAUGGCAACCAUGCUAAUAAACACAACUAAAAUCAAAGUAGUCUAAAAACCAAGAAAUGGCUCCAAUUGAACAUUGAUCUUCAUUGCAACUCCAAUUAAACAAACUUUGUGAAAACACCUUAAUAAACCAUCAAGAACAAUAAAUCAAGAAGUGGAAAAAAUGUAAAAGACAACAAGUUAACAAAAAAAAAAAAUUUUAAACGCAUGGAGAAAAAACGUCUUAAAGAUUCCUCCAAGGACCAAAUUCAAUUAAACAACUCAAUUAAGAACAACGGUUCCCAAAAAAAACAAUCAAUUUCUUCACCAAACAAGUUCAAAUAGUAAAAUCUAAACACAGCCAGUUGACUAUAAACCCAAAUAAUUCAUCAGAUACAAAAACAUACACAUAAUAUUCCAAAAUAAAUAAAUAAGGGAAAAGAAAAAGAUGCAUACCAUGGAGUACUAGAGAGUUUUGAACUAAGAGUUCAACUUUUGUACUUUAGAAAGAUGUCAAAUGGUUAGGUUAAUUUUAAAAACUUAAAAACAAAAUAGCUACCAAAUCAAAGCUUAAAUCGAACUACUAGAACAUUUAUUCUACACCUCACAAAAUUUCUUAAAGAGAGGGAAUAUCAUUUCAUCAUUCACUACAACUUCAACAUGUCUCCUCACCAAAGUAAUCCACUAGAAAACAAUGGCAAAAAUUCAUCCACACAUUUUAAAGACUAAAGAUAAAUAUGUUAUUUUGCAAGUAAACAAAGAGGCUAAACCUCGAAAAAAAGAUUAGAGAAAUGGAAGAAAAGGGUUUAAGAUCCAGUGCAUUUGAAUAUAUGGGCCUUAAGAUCUCACAUAAAAAAAAUACUACAUGAGUUGAAAGAUAUUGAAAAUCUUGGUACAAGAAUCAUAUUAACAUGCAUAAGAAGAUAAGCUUUCUAUGAUCAUGCAUAAUUGAUGAAACAAUUUUGCACAUGAUGGAUUUGAUUGUAUUAGUUUAGGAUUUGACAAGUUUUCAUUUUCACAAAUGUGGGAGAGUAUUAUAGUAGUGUUGAAUUCACCUUAACUCAUAAAUUCAAGCAUUCAGAUUGUGAGAUAAUUUAAUAGUACAUACUAUACAUUUAUCUUAGACUUCUCAAACACAAGUCAUAUAAGCCAAAGUUUAAGUAAAAAAUCAACACAAGUCAUAUAAGCCAAAGUUUAAGUAAAAAAUCAAGAUGCAAAACAUAAACUAAGAAUAACUUAUCUCUAAAUAUUUCUACACUAUGAUAUAAUAUUGUCCAACUUCAAGCAUAACUCUUUUUUUUGCAAAACAUCUCAAAUAUGCUGGAGAGACGUAAGGUUAGAAGUAUAUUGUCAUGUCAAAGCAAAAGGGCACAAUGUAAGAAAGAAAAUUACAUGCCUUUCUCUUUUAUAUUCAACUUCGUCUCUUUGGUGCAUGAUACUCAGAGCUCUUCUCACCUGUCCAAAACAUUUAUAGCAUGUUGAUCAAUAAGUUUGAAUUUUGAGUACAUACAACUUUUCUUUAUUCCUCGUCUUUUUGUUGGAUCGGUAUGACAACCCUAGAGGGGGGUGAAUAGGGUUUAAAUAAACUUUUUGACAAAUAAAAAGUAAAAUCAACUAAUUAGAUAUUUUUUUAAUUUAAAUAAAGAACUUUGUAAACUUUGUUAAAUAACAAGAUUGAUAAAAAGAUAUGAAUUGAAGUAUGCAAUCAAACUCAACCAAUAAGAAUAUGUAACUAAAAUUGAAUUAAAAAAUAACUAGAAAAGAGUUAGAGAAGAAGACACCGUAAUUUUAUAGUGGUUCGGUUAAACUCAACCUACAUCCACUUUCCUAAGCACUUCUUGGGAUUUUGAUUGAAAAUUUCUUUUGACUCUUUCCACGGAUUUGAACCCAACCGAUUCUUGCUCUUUUUUCGGGUUCAAGAGCAAACCCGAUCCUUUCCACGGGUUAUGAUCCAACCGUUACAAUAUGUUGAAGUUUUUAAAUCACACAAAAGAAAACUGUCUAAAAGAGUGAGUAUACAAUUUGAAGCUCACAAAUUUAAUCCUCACAAUACAAUAAGAAGCUCUCAAGAAUAAGAUGAAAAGAAUAAAAAUUGAAAGCUUUAGAGAGAAUAACAAUGUUGGCUUUUUGCACUUUUUGAGGAUGGUAAAGAUUUAAUGAUCUUGUCUUUUAAAAUUUGGGAAAAGUGAAGUAUUUAAAAAGAGGGGAAAGAUAAAUUCAAAAUCAUUUUGGAUCAUUAGAUAUAAGUAAAAGAAAAAUGAAUGGUUGAGAUUUAAACUUAAUUAGGCGUUAGACACAAUACAAAUAAUAAUAUAAUAAUAUGUCUUUUCAAAAUAUUUUGUUUAAAAAGAAACCAAUAAAGCAACUUCACCAUCUUUUAAAAGAACUAGUCGUUAGACACAAGGAAAAAUAAUAAUAUUAAAGUCAUUUUCUUUUUAAAUUCAUUUUCUUUGUAAAAGCCAAUAAAACAUAACAAAAAGCAACAUUUGUUACUCCUUCAUUGCUCCAAGUGGCUUUCUCUAAUUGGUUCAAAUUGAAUGCUUGGUCGCCACGUCACCAUCUUGGGUAUUUUUCCGUUAAGCUUCUUUAGCAAUAUUUUCUUCAUUUGAACUUCGAUUUGGGUGAUUCAAGAGGCGUUAGAAUCAUUUUUCCAAGCUCUACGAUAUGGUCUAUUCAAAUUAAUAAAAUUGUCAAUAAAAAAAUCAGAUUUGUUAUCAUCAAAACAUAAAUUAAUUAAAUAAUUAAAAUAAAUUAAUUUGAGAUUAAGGGCAAAAAAGCCAACACUUUUAUCUCACCAAUAGUUUCUUCUAUCCACUGAAUCCAAAAGGUGCCUUGUGACUAUUUACUAAGCUUUUUAGUGCAAGAUGUCUUCCAUGCAUAAUAUCAUUAGCUUAAAUAUGCACACAGCAUACAGAGCUAUAAAUUUACUCAUAUUAACAUUGUCGUUAUUAUAGACUUGACAAACUUCAAAUUUAUUAAAAUAAAAAUAUGCUUUAAACAAAGCGUACCUUGAAAUUCCUUCAACCCUAUUAAAAAAACAGAUAAGUCCAACACUUUAACAAAUUUAUAGUGCAUAUUAUGUAUCUCAAUUGAUCACAACAAAAUAAGAUUGAACAAAUACCUAUGAGAUACCUUUUCAAUGUUGCAUAUUUUCAUAAAAGCUCGGAAAGAGGUUAUAAUACUUCUCUAGAAAAGCUCGGAUGUAAUAUAUUUAACUCUCCCCAUCUUUUCUCAUACAUCCUUCACAUAGAACAUACAAAUUAAGAAACUAUUCACUUCAUCAAAAGCAUGUCAACAACUAAAUUUCAGCUUUAAUGUCUAUAAACAUCUAAACAAAAAUGGACGUUGACAAUAAUUCAAUCUAUGAGACACUCUAAUCAAUCAACUAGUUAAUUUGUGGCAAAAAAAAAUGAAAUUCAAAUACCAAGUAACAGAAUCAACAAGUUUGAAUAGGAUGUCUGUCAAACAAAGAAGCAUUAGUUAAUCUUCCUAGAAACCCUUAUAACUUGCGAGAUUUAGAUCAUUUAACAAACUCAUCAACAACUUAUGCGUUAACACUUAAGAACCUAGCCACAUUUGUACUAACGAUCUUAAGUGCGGUGAACAAUACUCCAUAGUUCUCUAGAGUUUAAAUUCUUUCAAUCAACAACAUGGUAAUGGAAAUUCCAUAUCGAAACUAAUCGGGUAAUCACAAAACUUACUAAAAUCACCCAAUUUAUUACUAACACUUAUAAAGGUAGCCUUAAUCUUAACGAACAAUGCCUUAACGAUUUUCUGAUUUUCUACUUCGAAAACAAGCAUCCACCAACAUGGUUCAUUCAAAAAUAGCACUGAAAUUAAACGGAUACUCAAUACCCAAACCACAAGGCUUGAAACCUUACCCAAAUUCGUGUCAAAUGCCAAAGUUUUACUCCUUCUCGGCUAAAUAGUAGCUAAGUCCUUCCAAGAACUCCAAUUUAGCAUCCAAACUAUAUGGGUACUGAUUAAUUCAAGCUGAAACUCAACGGGUACUCAAGACUCACUCAAUAAAGUCUAGAAUCUCACCCAAGUUGUGCCAAAAUUCUCAAAUACGAUUUUUCGAAGGGCUGGAUAGCGGCUCAAAUACUUCUAAAACUCGAGUCUGGCAUCGAAAAGUAAUGGAUAAUGUUAAACUCAAAGUCAAAAAAUAAUGGGUAUUCAAAAUCGCCUAACAAAAUAACCCCAAAACACAAAAAUCUUACUCUAGAAGUUGAAUCUAAACGAAGAAACCAACGUUCCUCUUUCUUUUCCAUAUUUCUUUUUUUCAUCAUAUAGGGUUAGAAACCCUCAUCCUCAUGCGUGUAAGGCUGCAAAGAAACCAACAUGGCUUCACCUCCUCCAAGCAUCCCUUAAUUCCUGCACUAAAUAGAGGCCCAACAAAAGGAACUGCAACGACUUGGCUUGCCGCUGCUUAGGUUGGCAUAGAGGGAGCUUGCACGACUAGAAGAGAAAGAAAAGACUUGACUCGGGUUGGCUGGUGAUCAACUCACGAAUAAAUACACUCAGCUAAAAGUACCCUCAUUCGACUCAGAUCAAAAAGAAGGUUUUGCGAAGGGGAAACGAUGUUGCUUAGUGUUGGUUAUGCGCCUUGAGUCUGUUGUUUUCUAUGAAAUGAAUCUCUAUUUCAUUGAUAAUUUAGUAGAGUACAAACCUAUAUAUAACCAAAGAGAAAUACAGUUAAGAAAAUAAUAUCAGAAUAAUAUCUACCUAAAAAUAAUCUAAUUACUUUAAUAGAUCAGUCCAUGAACGAAGACAAAACGUUUAAUGAAGGGUCAGAUGACUUGCAAAGAACGGUGGUGGGAAACGCAUGAAUAUAGAUUUAGCUUGACAUUCGGUUGGGCUUGGGGUUCCAUUUGUCGAAUGGCUCGAAAUGUAGAAGACUUGGAGUGACAGACGACGUGAAAUGGAGAAAAUGAUUUGAUUGUUUGCCGCUAGAGUUUGGUGAAGAAGAAUGGAGAAAAUGAUUUGAUUGUUUGCACACGGAUUGAGGGGUUUGAAUUUAUAAUAUUAAUAAAUAAUAAUAAUAAAAAUAAAAACUAUUGUUAUUAUUAUUAAGAAAUUACAUCGAAUGACAAAAACAUUUAAAAAAAACUGAUCAUAACAUCUAUAUUUUGCAUAUCACGAAUAUGACAAAAUUAGUGAUAUCAGACGUUAAUUAUAGGACUAUCAGACGGUAAUUAUAGAGCUAUCAAACGGUAAUAAUAAGGUUAUUAGAGACUCAUCACUUUUAAAUUUGCUACUUUUGCAAAUUUAAAAAAUAUUGUGACAUGACUCUAUUAUCAUAAAUUUUUUUUGCUAUUUUUGGAAAAGACUCGUUAUUAUUAUUAUUAUUAAUUACUAUUUUUCCUUUUUCUAUUCCAAAAUAAUAAAUCUAGAAGUUUCUCUUUCCUCCUUAAUUUCAUCUAAUCAACUUUUCUCUCCUUAAUUAUUUAUCUUCCCACGAAUAAUUAUCUUUUCCUUGUAUAACCAUAUUUUCACCGUAUAAUUUUUAUUUACUUCAAAUAUAUAUAUAUAUAUAUAUAUAAUUAACCAUAAUUUUUUUAAAACCCAAAAAUUUAAUUCAACCAAUGACACACCACUUAAAUCAAUUCUUAACAACACCAAAAUUCUAAAUCCUCUGAUUAAUUAAAUAUUCAUCUAAAAAAUAUUUAAUUAAUUUCAAUUGCCACAAAUAAUUCUCAAUCAAUUAACUAAAACUUUACAUCCAAAUAAUUCCAAUAUAAUUAAUUAAAAUUAAGAUAACUAAAUUCAAAAUUUUCUUAAUUUUUUAAGUCUUACCAAUCACAUUCCAUUGCCAUGUUCACCUUGCUCCUCUAUCGCACAUAGUGUAAAUAUAUAGGAUACAUCAUACUAUUUAUAUCAUUUAUACGGUCAUAGAUACUGCAUGAUCAUAGAAUGCAUGAUUAGCCUACUAGAAUCAUUAAUUCUUCGUGUUCGAUCCUGGCUUACCAAGAAAACCUCUCUUUUCGUUUACGAUCAAACAAGAGCGAGGAAAACUUGUACUCAAAACGAUAAAUCAUUGUACUUAGCGACACUUAGGUAGGAAUAUGCUCCUUUUAUCGCAUGGACCUAAACUAGUUGCCAACUCUAGUCACGCAAUUAGAGCCUAAUUAGAAUGAAUUCACGAAAAACGCACAAGAAACGAUACUUACUAGGCUCUGCACUACGUUUUCUCAAAGGUUGAGAGCAGCAACAAAAGGGAGUGCAACGAUGCUACUUUUAGAGCAUAACUGAGAGACCCAAGUCUUGAAUAGAAGGGUUAUUUUUUAAGUAGGCAUUUUGAUGGUUCGUGUUGAAGCUAGGCGACACAAUGAAGAAAAUUGAAUUUAAGAGGAAGUAGGUGUUUUGGUGUUGCGACGCGAGAAGAGUAGGCGGUGAGAAUUAGGAAAAUUCGGAGGAAAUUCCUAAUCUUGAUUAGACAACUGAUGAUGUGUUGGGAUUAAGUUGAGCAUGAUUAAGAAAGCUAGUAAAUCUACACGUGUAAAAAUAUCAAGUAGAAGCUAGCAAGUUAUGAAGCGUUUAGGAAUGACUAAUUCGACUUUAUGAUUAAUAUAAAUAGGAUUGAAAGAUUUAAAGAAAGUGUUGUUAUUUUGAAGUUACCAAGAAGAAUUGCUAAGUGUUGAUAUGUUGAGGAAGCAUCAGGCGAGAGGAAAGAAACUUGGAGGACGUUCAGAGGAAGAAAAAUUAGUCUGUGAGUGAUUUUCUACAAGAAAGAAUAGUGUUUUAAAGUAUUCUUUCUAAGUCUUGUAUUGUUGUAACGCAUGUUAAUGUUUAUGGGAAAGCACAAAUGUUUUCUAAGUUAAAAUUUCAUGUUUGAUGAUUGUAUGAAUUGUAUGUAUGCAAGUAAACCAGUAGCUUUAUUCCUAUCAUAAGCUAGCUAUUAUGUGAACAUAAUGAGUCAAGACAACCAUGGAGUGAAAAGAUCACAUGGUGGUAAGAAGUUGACCAACGCAUUGAAAGGAGCAUAUUAAAUUAACAAUCUGACCAACAGGAAAUAAACUAGGAAAUUCGCCAGUGGACGUUGAUGAUGAUACGAUCAUUACAGUAGUCUAUACGUGAGGAUGGUUCAUAUUCUUGGCGAAAAGAAUAAGAGGAAACUAAUGUGUGUUUAUGUUUUCUAAAGAGGUAUUGUGAGCCUAUUUAUGAAAAUGAAGUUACUUAAUUGAAUUGUAUGCAUAAAAAAUGAUUUCUAAAACCUCAAUCACUAAGUAUUUGACUUAUGUAUUAAGUUUUCCUUCCACGGGUAUCAAGGCGUUGAGACCAGGUUAAAAAGGGUAAGGUGAGCAGGGUAAGCGUUUUAAGUGUGAAGUUGCGCUAAGCAUUGAAAGCCUUAUGCUAUAGUUCUUGUACUUAGAAAGCUUGUAUUAAGUAUUAUGUAUUGAAAUGCAUAUUGUUAGUUAAUAAAAAGAAGUUUGUUAAUCUAUCUUGUGUUGUGAAGUUUGUCGUCUAUUAGUAGUUUAAAGAUUCAAGUUGCAUUAUGAUUGAUUGUUGUGUUAAAUUUGUUUGCUAGGCAUUCAAUGUGUUAUCUUGUGAGGAGAUAUGCGUUGAGUGUCCAGGCGGUCAUGCCUCCACAUGAUCGCAUUGAGUGAUUUUGGGGCGGGGUGUGAUAGUAACAUUGCUCCAGAUUUUAGCGAACAAAGCGUAUGUGCCUCAUGACCAGAGUGCAAUUGUGCCUUUGUAGUGCAGCUAUGCUUUACCUGCUUUCUAUAUAUUUUCUUCUUCUUUUUUAGGUUAAAACGGAAUAAUUGUUGGGAAGCAUAAGGCCGACAAGUUCUUCGAAUUUUCUCUUUAUCCUCCCUCUUUCUAGCAUGUUAAGAGUAGAUUUUAGUUUUAUUUUGGGUUGUAGCUUAAGAAUUGGACUUUUCUUCCUUUUGUUUUCCUUUUGUUUAUGAGAAGUUGAUGUAAGUUUGAAUUUAGUUUUUGGCAGUAACAACCUUUUAUGUUCUCGAGAUUUUUGUUUCAUAUCCAUGUCAACUUCUAAAUGCACAAUUACGUUGUAGGCUAUCUCUGAUUAGCAUGUAUUGCUCUUGCUAAUCGAUUUAUGAUUUGUUGUAGGCUAUCUCUAAUUAGCAUGUAUCGCUCUUGCUAAUCGAUUUAUGACUUGUCACAUUCAUUCUAGGAUGUCUAGCUAUAUCUGAUUAUAUGUAGCAAUUAGUUAAGCUUUUGUUUUGUAGCUUAACUAGAAUGCCUGUUUUAAUUUGAGGUUCAAAGAUAAUCUGAUUAAUUGAAAUUAGGCUGAAUGCACAUAUUAGAGUCUCAUGUGAUUGCUUUUCGGACCUGAUAGAACUUAAGAUGUGUAGUUUAGUUAGGAUUUGCUUAAUUUUUAACUAAUAGUUAAGGCAUUCGUUCUAUUCAUUCUUAGCUAGUUAAACACUCAAUGCACGCAUAAAUCAAUUGCAUGUCCAAUUAACGGAAACCAAUGAUUGGAACUACAGAGGAAUCCUCUUAUCCCUCUUAUGCCAAAAAACAUAAAACAUUCCAUCAUAUGUUACAUUCUCGGGUUGCAGUUUAUUUUACACAUUGCACUUUUAUAUCUCUAUUCACUCCACCACCCCUAAUUUAUCUAGGGAUAACUUUCCUUUCUAGAUUGACAAAUAAAAGAAUGGAGAUUAAGAAAACAUUAAAGAAUAGUGGGAACAAAUUAUGGGAUAUGUAAAAGUGUAAAAUCUAGACGAUAGAUGGAAGGAAAUGAUAGAUCGAUUGUUAUUCAUAUACUAACGAUAUGGACUUUUCGUUCUAGAUAGAUAGUAGUAAUCUUACAAUAACGAUAAUAGAUUAUCUUUAAACCACUUUUGUUAUUCUUAAAUUUACUUGAAACGUCUUCAAUUAGACAAAAUAAAUUUAAUGUUAAUUUAACACUUUAAAUGCAAUAUUGAUGUUAUCAAAAUUGAUGUUGAAUGAUUAAGAACUUACUUAGAAGUGAGUUUCGUUAAAAUCAAUCCCCAACAUGCCAAAUCAUUAUGGUGUAAAUCAAUUUCAGUAAAUCGCUUAUAAACAUUUCUUUUUCUAGUAAAGUUUGUCAUUUCCCCCACUUGAUGCAUGGACUGAUAUGCAUCACGUUACUCCGUCAAUGCACCACAUGGCAAAAAAAAAAAAAGGAAAGUUUUGUAGGGUUGAAGUAAAUAAAACAUCAACGUUACUAAAUAAAAAGUAUCUUAUUCGUUUUAAUAUCAAUUUCUUAAAGAGUUCGAAGUUUAAAAACCACAUCAUACAUUUCCUAUUCUCACGUUUUCAAUACAUUUCAUUAAGAGGUAGAUUUAGCAUAGACGAUCCUAAUCCAUUUAUAAAUUUGAUUUUUCACAUCUUCGGAUGUUAAUAUUCUCAAUAGAAAAAAUAAAUUGUUUUUACAUUUUCUUCCAGUCUCUCUCAAGAAAUUACAUUCUGUAUAAAUCGUUUCUCAAUGUUAUCCAUUUAUUAGUUUCGUCUUUCCAAAAAAAAUCGAUGAAUUCAAUUUAGUCCCCAAUUUCCAGGUAAUUGAUCAAGUAUUUAGGAAUCAAAUUGAAAUAAUCCAAAGACGAAACUAAUGAAUGAGACUAAUGAUUUUGAAUCUAAAAUGAGAGAGAGAAGGGGCGUGUCAUACAUUUAAGCCAUCAAAACCACAUUGCUUGUAUGUGAGAGACUGCUUUCUUGGACUAAUCACAAUUGCACAAUCAACUGAAACCUAUACAGUUUCCCAAAAAGAAAAGAGCAAUGUAAAUAAUUGAAUGUGAUAUUAUAAACAAUAUAAUAUAGUAAUAUUAUGGUUAAAGGAAUAGGAAAUGAGGUGGGAAGAGAGAUUUGAUUCAAAAGUCACAUGGGGGGGGUAGGAACGAUCCGAAAGUUCCUUUCAUCAUACAUAAUGCAACUUUAGACUUUCAAAACUAGCUGUCAGCAUUGCUUCUCUCACUUCUUGUUUUUCCUUUUAAGUAUUAUAUAUAUAUACACACACACUAGAUGCAACAUCAACAAAUACAUACAUUAAUCUAAAAUUUCUAAACUGUGAUUCUUACAAUUUAUUUUGGUGGGAUCAGCAAUGUAAAGAUGAUUCUCUGUGUAAAUCUUGAAGCACUUAAAUUAGAUCAUUUGAAAUGACCUCUAGAAUUAUAAUUAUAAUGUUGCUCUAAAAAUCAUCUCAAACUGAAUUAUAAUGUUGCUCUAAAAAUCGUCUCAAACUGACUGUAACACCUAAAUUAAUCUAUAAAGAAAUUUAAGGUGCGUUCCAAUUACAUUUUAUAGAGAUUAAAUUAAAAUAUAAGUUUUCUUUUUUAAAUAAUGGAAUCUAUCUAAAAUAAAUUUUAAAAAGAAUGAGUUAGCGUGGUUUAGAAUAAACACUCCAAAUCAAUUUUUAGAAAAGUUAAUUUCUCUAAUUGUACAAAACACCCUAAUCGUCAUCUUUAGCUAUCCUUGCCAGCCAACCUUUGACAACCAUCUUCGUUGACUAUUGUUGGACAACGUUCAAUCACUGUAUCUAACAACUGUCGUCAGUAAACCUUCAAGCAUCGUUUUUCACGUGAUCGUCAACAUUCGUCUAACGUUUUUCCCACAACCACUUCUACCCAACAUUCGACUACUGCUUUCCAAUAAUUGUCACCGGCCAAGCUUCGGGUGACUGUUUUUUAGCAACCAUAGCAAAACAACUAUCGACCACGGUUGACCGUCAUGGACGAACCUCUAGUCAUUGUUUUCUGGGUACAGUUCUUCAUCAACUAUGAUGGUCAAGUUUCGUCUACUGUUUUUUCGUCAACCACCAACAAUUUCUUUCAAUCAUUGUCGACCAACUUCUAAAGAACAAUUUUUUAUGUCCACCACCUGUCAACUUCCAGUGAUUGUUUUACAACGACCUCCACUCAUUCUUUUGUCCUUGUUUUUCAACAACCGUUGUCAACAAACUUUUGACGGCAUCUUUUUAUGACCGUAAUCUGAUUAUUUUUGUUGGAAUACAAUCAAUCAUCAUCGACCAUCGCCAACCGCUAACAAUCAACUUUCGUGUACUAUUAUUUUUCGUUGUCACUGUGGGUCAACCUUCGAUAACUACUUUUAAGUGGUCGUUGUCCGUCAAUUUUUUGGCUACCAUUUUUUUAUGAUCGUCUUUGCUAAUAUUCGACAAUUGUUUCCCGAUGAUAGUUGUUGGUCAACCUCUGACAGCUACUUCCGUCAACCAUCGAUCUUCGUUUUCUGACAUUGCCAUCAGUCAUCCUUUGUCGACUAUGUUUAGACAAUCAUGGUAGACCAACUUUUGUCAAACAUUUUUUGGUAACAGUUGUCAACCAACUUUCGUCAAUUCAUUGUCGACAACUUUCGUGGACCAUUUUUUAGUGAUUAUUGCUAGCCAACUUCCGUCGACUAUUUUACGAUGAGCGUUGUCGGCUAACUUUCAUCAAACUUUUGUUGAUCGUUUUGGGUACCAUUGUCAGCCAACUUUCAUUGACUGUUUUUUGGUAUCUGUUGCCUAACAACUUUUGUUGACCACUUUUUAGUGACCAUUGCUAACCAACUUUUGUCGACUAUUUUUUAGUAAUUGUUACCAGCUAAGUUUCAUUAAAAAAAAAUUAGUUACAAUUGUUGGUCAACUUUGUUGACCAAUUUUUGGUAAUUGUUGUCGACCAACCUUUAUCAACUAUUUCUUGGUGACUGUUGCUAGUGAACAUUUAUCCAUUGUUAAUUGGUGACUGUUGUCGAUAAAUUUUUGUUGAUAGUUUUUCAAUGAUUGUUGUUAACCAACAUUUUUCGACCGUUCUUUGAUGAUCUUGCGGGUCAACUUUCGUCAACCAUUUUUCAAUGAUCGUUGUCGGCCAACUUUCAUCAACCCUUUAUUAUUGACGACCAAUUUUCGACGGCUGUUGUAGGUGAACAUUCAUUUGCAUAUAUCGGUGAUUGUUAUCAACCAAUUUUUGUAGACAGAUUUUCAAUAACAUUGUCACCCAACAUUCGUCCACUGUUGUUCGAUGACUGUUGUCAGCUAACUUUAGCCAACCGCUUUUCGACGAGCAUUAUGAACAUCAUGGGUCAACUUUCAUCGACCAUUUUUUAUGACCAUUGUCAGCCAACUUUCAUCGAUCAUUUUUCAAUAACAAUUGCUAACUAACUAUUGGCGACCAUUUUUCAGUGACCUUUGUCGACCAACUUUUUUCGACUGUUGUUUGGUAACCAUUAUCGGCUUACAUUUGUUGAUCGUGCUCGGUGACCAUUGCCUAUCGACUUGUUUUUUGGUGAGUAUUGUCAAUCAACUUUUGUCGACCAUUUUUCAAUGACCAUUACUAACCAAUUGCCAUCAACUGUUUUUCGAUGACUACUGUCGACUAACUUUAGACCGACUAUUGUCACCAACUUCUUGUUACCACUUUACAAUACUGUUGACGACCACCUCCACAAAAAAAAAAAAAAAAAAAAAAUCUUUUUUUAUAAUUUGAAAAUAUAAAAACACUUUAAACAUAAAAUAAAUCAAACACACUUUCACAUAAAAACACUUUAAAAAAAAUGUUCCAAAAUAAGGAAUUUUUAAAAGAAUAUUUAAAUAAAAAUACAUGAAAAACAUUUUCUUUUUCUAAAAUUAUUCGACACAAUCCCUUGGGUGUUACGAUUGAGAUAAUACUUUAACCUUUCAUCCAAUUACAAUGUAAAAAAUUAAGCUCCUAUGUCCAAAAAGCAAAAGAUAAACAUUAUCUAUUUUAUCCUUGGGUUUUAACUUUAAUUACCAUUUGAUUCAUAAGUUUCUAAAUGUUAGUUUAAAAAUCCACUUUUGUUUCAGUUUAAGGGAGUUUUCAAACUGUUAUAAUUUUAUCCUUGGAAAAUUUAGUUUCUUUCAAUUUUCUAUUUACAAUUUUAAACUCGAAUUUUCACUAAACUCCUAGUUCUUGUUUUGAAUGUCAAUAUCUAUAUAUAUAAAAAAAUUAUUUUACUCUUUUUCAUUGGUAAUUAAAAUUAAAUUAAAAAUUCAAUUCACAGUUCUUAAAGAUUAAAAUCUGAGUAUUCAGUUAAAAAUUAAAGUUAGAAGUGAAAUUUAAAAUCUAAAAAUAAAAAUCAAAUCUUCAAGAUAAAAUUACAAUAUUAUAAAAGUUAAUUUAAGUAUCGAAUAAAAUUAAAAAUAUUUAUGACCCAUAUAAUAAAAUAAAAAACGUGUUUCAUAAUUUAUUCAUUAUUCGUUUUCUCUCUCACCUUUAAAGUCAUUUUUCUCAUAAACACAAUAUUAUUUUCUUAUUCUUUUUUUAUUAUCAAUGACCGUUAUUAUUUUUUUUUUUUACUACAAAUAGACCACUACCGCUAAAAGAUUGAUUAGAUUGGGUACAAGACUAUAAGAUCAUUUAAAUUGGAUAAAAGGAAAUAUAAUGUACCAAGAUCGUUUAGACGGAGUACAAGGUCAUUAGACUGGAUACAAGGAUACGAGAUUGUUUUUGUAUGUGUGUAAAUUCUUAAUUACGGGGUACUUUUGUUAUUUAUCGUUGUAGGUUUAGACGAGAUUGUUGUUAUUUAUACUUUUGGGUGUUUUUUUUGUUCUAUUUUUUAAAAACCAAAAACUGGAACUAAAAAAUGCACCUAAAACAUACAUCAGUCUUCAGUUUUAUAUUAUUCACAAAACAAUUUGAACCCAAUGUCUGGAUCCAAUAGAAGCGAUAUUCAGUGGAAGCUAAUCGGAUAUCUUUAACUUGAAACAAUUAGGAAAAAUAAAUAAGUGAUAGUGCGUUCGGAAAAAUGGGCGUGAAAGUAAAGCAAAAACGAAAGAAAAGGAUGCAAACUACUGUUGUCGCUUUCCCUCUAUUUUUCGACUUUCUUCAUUUAUAUACUCAUCCAAUUAUAAACAAAAAUCCUUUUGCAACUCAAUUUCUGUCCCUAACCAAAAUAAAAAAAGUUCUGAAAUAUGUAUAUAUGAAUAUAUACACAAAAGUUCUCUGAAAUUUUAAAACAACAAAAACAAUGAAAUACACCAAUCAGACGGUCCAUAUCAGAUCCAUCCAAAUCCUUAACUCCCAAGUAUACCCACUUAAGAAGGACAAAAUAGAAAAAGAGUUUUUGCUAAAAAAAAAACAACGAAUACAACCAUAAAAUUCAAAGGUUAUCUCCCAAGGAGGUUUUUGACAACACUUUUUGUUUCUUUUUUGAACUUGGGAAAACUAAUUAGCAAAGAUCCCUCAAGGUCAGUGAGUUUCGAGUUCAAUCUUCUUGAAUUGUUUCUGUUGUUGCAUUUUGGAAUUACAGUGCUCUAGUACCAUAUUAAAUAAAACGAGUUUCCAUAGGGGAAAAUUUUCAAUGUAGGAUGACCACCUAAGGGUUUUCUAGUUUUUACUCAUAAUUGUGCAUUUAGAAUUAAGGAAAAGAGCAUUAAAAUUAAUUUCGAAGAGUUGAUUAAAAAAGAAAGAAAAGGAACCAAGAGAAGGAUAUGCGUGAAAUGAGGAAAUUACAUGGAAGUUCCUAAAAAAGCAGAGAGAAAGUAGAGAUGAGAAGUACCUGAACGCCGGGGGAAUUGAAGGACAAGAGGCGGAUCUUAGCAGCAACAUCACCGAGUAUUCUCAGCUCAACACGGUCGUUCAAGGAGGCGUCACGGAUCAAAUCGGCAGCGUCAGCUUGAAGGAGAUUAACGCGAUCCACAGCGAUGGUGGCAUCCACCUGGCGCUGGCUGUGAGGGUCUUGAAAGAAUCCCGGAACGGAGGCUCUCCCAAGUGGAAUUCCUCUGUACAUGACCGUGAACCGGGAUUCCUCGUACUUGAUUCCAACUUUAUUAGGGUUAACAGCUGUGAAAAUCAUCCGAAUGUUGAGGGAAAGAGAGGCGGUGGUGGGAUUGGGAUUGGUUAUGCCCACGUACUGGACCUUCACUUGCUGGAGAUCGAAUUGGGGUUUCUUGGGUUUGAGGGCGAGGACGACAACGAGGACGAUGGCGAGGACUAAGAGGGCGAGGAAGGAGAAAAGGAGGAAGAGGCAGCAGCAGCAGCCUUUGAAAGUGGCGGAGGAGGAGGAGGAUCUGGGAUUGUAGCGAGGGUGGACCCCGUUUGGGACAGUUCUUGAUGAUGAAGACAUCGCUCUUUGAUUUUGAAAUUUUAGAAGGGAUGGGAUUGUUGGUGGUGCUGCUGCUUGCCUGUUGGGAGUGUGAGUGUGAGUGUGAGACAGAGAUUGUGUUGUUGUGUAGCAGUUGGCAGUAGCAGCGCUCCCCCACCGAGUGCCUUCCUCUUCGCUGCCUCAUUUCUAGGCUCCCACUCGCAUUACCCUCUUUUUUCCCAUCGCUUUCUCUCUCUCUCUCCUGCAUCUUCUUUUUGCCAUUAUUAUUUUGAUGGGCUAAAUUAAAGAAAAUGACCUAAAACUUCCAUCAAACUUGCUUACUUCUAAUGUGAAAUUGAAGUGCACACAAAUGCACAACAAAAACACUAACAAUGUGUCUGGACAGGUAAAGAGUUAUGGAAAUAGGAUUACGAUAAUUCUAGUGUUAUGAUAAUAGAAUAUUAUUUUUAUAGUGUUAUGGUAACGUGUGUUGGGAAAGGAAUAUGAAAUGUAGUAUUAUGAUAGCAUAUGUUUGGAAAUGAUCAUGAUAGUAGUGUUAUAAUAAUAUGUGUUUGGAGAAAUGAUUAUUACUAUAGUAUUAUUACAAUGUGUUUGAGGAAGGAUUAUUGUUGUAUUAUUAUUAUAACAUAUGUUUGGUGAAAGUGAUACGAGUGUAGUAUUAUGAUAAUACGCAUUUGGGGCAAAGAUUAUGUUAAUGGAUUUAGGAUAAAUUUUUUUAUUUAAAUAAGGAAUAUUAAUAUAUGAAUUAAAAAAUAUCAUAGAUUUUAAAAAAAAAUAAACAAUAUUAAUUUAUGUAAUUAUAAUAAACCAAUUUUUUAUUUCCAUACAUUUUCAAAUAUUCUUCUUAUGUACCCAAAAUUGUUACGUUCAGACCCAUUUCAUUUCAUUUUUCCUUGACGUAUAUGCAAUUGGAAAAUAAUAGUCUCUUGAUUAAAAAUAGUUUUUCAAAUGACUUUUGUGUUCAUUGAUUUUAGGUAACUUACUAAGAAUCCUAAAAAGUGAUUAUUGUUUUACGUAAAAAAGAAUGAAAAACCUAUAAUUUAUAACAUUUUAAUAACUUGUAAAAAACUCUAUUGAGGUUCUAACCGUUCACCUAACCUUGAUUUUUGUCUCCCUAUUGUGUUUAAUUUCUAUAUCGGUUAUGAAAACACAAUUAGUUUAUGAAGUUUAAGGGAUUUUUUUUUUUUUUUUUUUUUUUUUUUGCAACCAUCGCAACUUAGUAAGAAUCCUAAAAAAUUGUUUUAUGUAUAGGUUGUUCGAAAUGUCAAAACAACUACACGUGACCUCGAUUUUUUUUAUUAGAACAGUAGCUGAUGAAUGAAAAUGAUAGUGCAAUAGUAGAGACAUGGUUUGUGUAAUAUGCAAAUUAAUCAAUAAACAAAACUAUUAUUCAAUAUAGUAAGGAAAUUACGGUUUACAUAAUGACGUAUAGCAAGCGUUUAAUAAACAAACAUUAAGACGAAGGAAACAAAUGAAUUUAUUACAAAAUUCAAUUAACUAGACCACAAAUAGAUCGGCUUGAUAAAUGAAUGAGGUUUAUAGCCGUAGUACCUCCUUUACGAAUGGUAUAAGUGCGACAACCUGAAAAUACACACACAAAAAAAUUGCAUUACGUAAUGUAAAAGGAACUAAAUAUGUGUACUAAACAUACCUUAACCGCAAAAAGAACCUUACAAAUUCAUGUAACUGUACAAUAAAUAACAUAAGCAUUAAUACAUAAAGAAAGGGAAAGAAAGUAGCCUCAGAGUUAAGAAAUUCCUGCAAAGGCAUUCAAGAAGAAUGCAUUUGCCAUAGAAAUUCGUGUGGUGGACUCGAUUACAUCAUAUGUAAAAGCAAAGCAAGCAAAGAGAGUCAGAAAACCGAUAUCAUUCAAAAGAGCAAGGGAGACAUGGUGACAAAACAAUGGGUUAUAAAGAAUUUGAUACAGUGGCUAAAAUGGCAUCACAUUGUUGACAUAAAAAUAGGAUGCUAGAAGAAUAGACAGUGUAGUGUUAUCAUAAACCAAGAGGCAGUAACCAUAAUUUAAUGCAACCAUGGAAACAAAAAAAAAAACAAGUGAAACAAAUCCAUAUAUGUGAGGAACAUGAGGAACACGGAGUGAAACAAAAAAAAACAAGUGAAACAGGUUUGUUUAAAUAAUAAUAAGGCAAUAAACAAAUGGAAUGAAUCACAAAAUUCAUUUAGAUGCAGUAAACAUAACAUGGAAUGGGGGUGCAAGACAAAAUGGAUCACAUAGGGAGGCAAACCAAAAUCAUACAUGUGAGGAACAUAGAGUCAGGAACACCAAAACAAAUUGAUGAACGAACCAUUGGAAAAAAAAAAAAAAUUGAACCAAAGUUUUCAUACUUCAGAGAGUGUCCAACAUUAAACUCAUCACUGGCAAUGGAAAAACAAAUGUAUUGUAGACCCAAAAAAAUGUACAAACAUGAAAAAAGCAUCAGGGAGUGACCACCAAUUUACUCAUCAUUUGCCACACAUACCUUCAGUGUUGACCGACGACCCCUACCAUGCUCCAUCGUGCCCCUACUUGACUUUCGUUCAACAUAUUAGUGUAGCAUCUGUGACAUUAAUGGACGUUUGGUCGAAACAAAAGAGCAGUGAACUCGUUCUCAAACCGACAAGGGUUGAGGAGCGGCAAGGUAGGUUUCAUUGGCAAAUCAAACAUAUGGAAAGAUGGAGAGAGGAUGAGAAACGUUUCGGAGGUAACACACGUUUGUGUGGCAAUCAAUCAACGAAAUGCAUCGAAGAGAGGAUGAGAACCGUUUCGAAGGUAGCAUCAAAAUGCAACCGUCACAAAAAAAAUAGGUUUCAUCGGUAGGAACAUAAAAUCGAAAAAAGUAAGGCAAAAAUUGAAGACGAACAGAACUUGUAUAUCGUCGAAAAUGGGAGGGAAGGAAAUACAUUUCCUUUCAUUUUCAGUUUACAGUGAGGAGGAAAAGGAAGAAGACAAUGGAAAAUUAGAAAGAUAAUUAGAGGAAAAGGGAAGAAAAUCAAACGAAAAUCAAACAAAAAUCAGAAGAAAAUGGGGGAAAAACAAUAGGAGAAGUAGGAUUAAAUGGGGAUUAGGAUCAUAACCCUUGGGCCUUGGGCCAACACGGUUUGGCCCAAUUUCCUUUUCCUUUUCCCCCUAAAUUCCUACCCCAAACAUACUCUAAAGGAUAAAAAGACAUGCUAGCACAAGCGGAUUGAAUUAAAAUUCUCUAAUUGCUCUUAAUUUUAUGGAUUACAUGCUUUAGAAAAGGGAAGAAAUAGAGAUUUUGAUAAACUCACCUUUCAAGCUCGAACUAUCUUUUGAUUGAUGUUGAAGUUGAUCACGAACGAGAUGUAGACCACCACGAGAGUCAUCCCAACUAUCAUCCCACCUUAGGACAUAUGAUGGAAUCCUAAAGGCCUAUUUGAUAACGUUCUCGUUUGUGAUUCUUUAUUUCUAAUUUCCUGUUUCAUGUUUAUUAAAUUUUAACAACUAGAAACUUGAAUAUAUUUGGUAACUAUUUUUAUUUAUUGUUUCUUGAAAAAAAAAACCAUAAACAUAACUUGUUUAAUAAUCAUUUUUUUAACAUUUUCGCUUAUAUCUAAAGUUUAAAUAUAAUUUAAUUAUGUAAAAAAUAAAAAAAUCAUUAGAAAUAAUUAUAAGACAUUGAUAUUAUCAAACCAUAAGUCCCAGUGCAAAAUUAACAGGGGGCAUGGGCAAGAAUGACAAAAAAGUUAAAAGAAAAACUAAAUCCAUAGUCGAGCAAUAUGAAAUUUUGCAAAAAUGGAAAAAUCGAUCAAUCCAAUCCAGUUUAAAUGAACAUUGAAAUUGAAAAAUAAAAAAUGUCCUCAUGAUUCAUUGACUUUUGCAUGUGUAAUGUAAUUGCUAUGUGAUUGUUGUUUGAUUAUCACUCGAUUACCUUCUUUGUUUUUGUUAGGACUAGAAUAGAUAGUACAAUUCAUACUUAAUUUUAUCCUUAUGCAGGCAUAUAUUCAUUAAUUUCAUAUUUUAUAGAGAUUAUUGUCACACUCCACCCCACAACGCGUUUUGACUUUUGCGUUCCAAGACGCAAACGCGAGUUGAGUAGCCUUUAUAGCUCAAAAUGAAAUGCCAGAACGCUCAAGCUUAACCCUUAACCUCAAACUUAAUGCUUAACUUGAGACUUAACAUAAAUAGUUAUAACAAAAUCCACAACCCAUGAUAAUAAAAGCAACUUUCUCUUAUUUAUUUAACAACAUGUGUUCCAAUACUUAGUAAAUGCUUUGUUGAGUACUAAAAACUAAAAUAAAAGGCUUCCAACAUCUAGUGGAGUAUCCUUCUGAUGCACAUUCAGAACACCUAGCUAAACGCCUUUAACGCCUAGCUAAAAGUCUUACCUUUCUUAACUUGACCUCCACGCCUUGUUACUUGGGGAAUGGAAACUUAAAAUCAUAAGUCAAAUACUUAGUGAGUGGAAUUUUAGAAAUCCUUUUUGGGCACUCAAUCACGUAAAUUUAUUUUCAUAAAUAGGCAUAAAAUGCCCCAUUCAAAACAUAAAACACACAUUAGUCUUUCUUAUUCCUUUUGCAAAAAAUAUGAGCAUUCUCACGCAUAGACUGAAGGGAUAAAAGUCCUAGACAGCAAGAGAUUUUACAUAAUCAUUCUUCAAAUUAAUUUGGAAAUCCCAAAUACCAAUACAUUGGCAAAAUAAUAUAAAACUAAUUUUAUUAUUAUAACUUAAAGGCUAAACUUCUUCUAAUUAUAUAUUAGACAAAAAAAAAACUUAUGUAGUUUGACAUCUCUGAAUCUAUUAAACCUCCAAAUUUGGGAACACCACCAGUCGGAGACCUUCCUAUCUUUUAGGAUGAGAUUGGUUUAUGAAAAUCAUCCAGUUGGGAUGAAAAAAAAUUUAGAGAGAAACUAUUUUUCAAAAAAGUAAAAUCAUUAGUUCUAUUUUUUAUUAAGAAAAAUUAUGUUUCUUCCACAUAUUUAUAACUCUCUUUUCUUCAUGGAGUAGGAAAUAGAGUAAGAGAGAAUCAUAAAAUUUUAUUAAUUUAAAAAUAUUAAAUAAAUAGAGUUUUAAAAUCAACUAAUUAAUUAACAAUUAACAAUUAAUUAAAUCAUAGUUAAUUAAUAUUUUAUUUAAAUCAUAUUUAAUUAAUAUCACUCUAAUAUCUUACACUUUUAUAUUAAUUAAUUAAAUCAAAUUCAAUUAAAUAAAAUUAAACUAAAAUAUUAAUUAAUUCUCCAAUUAAUUAAUAACUAAAUUAAAUAUUUGAUAUUUAUCUUAAUAUUUGAAUAAUAUUCAAAUAUAAAUUUCUCAUAACCAAUAAUUUUAAUAUGAAUCCAAUUCACAUUAAAUUAAUAUUUGAAUUCAUUCAAAUAUUUUCUCUCUCAUAAAUUAAUUUUGAAUCAUAUCCAAAAUUAAAUUUAUAAAAUAAAAUUUAAUUAAAAUAUAAACUUUAUAUUAUAAUGUAUAGACAUUAUACUAAUUCCCAAAGUAAAUUUGACCAUUUCAAAUUACAACCAAUAUAAAUAAAUCUUAUUACCUUUUACGAGCUAGAAAUGGACCUAAUGAAUCUAUAGAUGAGAAGCUACAAUGAUAUGAGAUUAAUUAUCUAAACUCAUUAACCAUAUUAAUCAAUAUUUGUUAGUUGUGUGUACACUUCACUAAAGACUCACAGUUAAACUCUUCUCAUUGUAGAUAUAUUUAUGUAUCCACGGAUAUAGACCAAUAACAGUAAGUUAGUCCUUCACGAGUGUUCAUAACGCCAACUAGGUCAAAUUACCAUUUUACCUCUAAGUUACAUCUAGUCCUUAAAUACUAGUGUUCCUUUAAUGAACAACCUGUUUAUGGUUCAACCAAUAAGUAGAAACCCCUAUCGUGCCAUAGAAAGAGUAGUGCUCUUUGUUCACAUCUCAGAGACACUAUUUAAGGGAAUACCCAUCUACUUACCCUAAAGUAGGAAAUGAGUAAAUUUCAUCGUGUGUAGCUAUGUUCUCAGCUCCCCAUUUGGUCUUGUCCCAAAAAUUAUAAGCAUAUUGAGUCAACAAUCUGGCCAGUCUCACCCGUACAAAUCAAAGAACAAUUCCUCGCGAACAGAAGUUCAUAAUACACUCAGGAUUAAGACUAAGUUACCUAAGUUAUUCUAAUGAAAUAGAAACCUGACUAGUUAACAGAGUUACAUCUAGUGGUUAUUAUUUCAUGAUCUUGUCUUAUACAAACUCAUUGCAUAGGAUACCUUUACUCGCAUGUGACCUACACGAACGAGCUAGUUGGAUCAUUGUAUUUGUAUCAAAUACAAAGUGAAUUGUAUCCAUAGUGUUACUAGGAUAAGGUACCCAACCUUAUCCCUAUACUAUAGACCCUUUAAGUUGAUCUCGAACAUUGAUCUCUAUAUGCCUCUACAUACUGUUCAAGAGUCCUCAAACAUCUUUUGUUGUUAUUUUAUUGGAUUUGGGUUAUUAAGACAAAACUAAUAAUAUAAUCAAUAACAUAUGAAAUUAUCACAAUAACACUUUAUUAAUAACGGUCAAUGGAUUAUAUUUAUAAUCUAUGAAUUUUAGGACAUAAAUCCCAACAAACUACUAUGAUGACCACAUUAUCAACAACAUACCUUGAAGAAUUUUCUAGUUCAUUUUUCGUUGCUCAAGUUGUUAACUCAAUACGCUCCUUUCAAUGCAUUGGCCAACUUCUUACUACCCUGUAGUUGUUUCAUCCCAUGGUUUCCGUGACAUUAUGGGUAUAUAAAAACUAGCUUAUUUGAGAAAUAAAACUAAUAGUUUACUUGCAUACAUAAAACUUAUACAUUCGUAAAAAAAAACAUGAAAACUUUAACUUAGUAACUCUUUCUUUCAACAAAUGUGCUUCCUCAUAAACAUUGAACAUGCAUUAUAUAAUAUAACAAUAUAAGACUUAGGUAGAAAGAAAACUUUCAAAACUUCGUUCUUCCUUUUAGAAAAAUCAAUCACUACAGCUAAGUUCCUUCCUCUAAACGCUCAACUCCAAGUCUUCUUCUUCGAGCUUAAUAACUUCCUCGACAAGACAACAGUUGAGUAAUUUUUCUUAGUAAAUUUCAUAGUAACAUUCUUUUCUUUAGACCUUUCACUUCUAUUUAUACUUACAAUUAGUUGUCAUCCUUGAGCUCUCCUUAACUUGCUAGCUCCUACUUGGUGCUUUUCACAUGUGAGCUUAAUAUCCUUCCUAGUCAUGCUUAGCUUAAACACCACAUAGUCCACUAUCGAAUCAUGAUUAGGAAAUUUUUCUGAAUUUUUCUAACUCUUUCGCUUGUGUUUUUACAAAGUAACACCCAAAAUGCCCAACUCUUUGCAUUAAUGAGGUUCAACAAAAAUUUUCCUCAACGCACUUUGUCAUUCGAAACGCCUAUCACCAUAAUGGCUUCUUCUUAAAAGUACUUUUUACUUAGGACACGAGUCUUACAAUUAAGAAAAUAGACUCCGAUACGAGAACAAUUCAACAAAAUCGUAACUAAUUGAAAGUUUACGAAAUCUUGAGUCGUUCCGUCGAAGAAAACACAUGCUCGUCCUUGAUGUUGCUGGUUCGAAUCUUAUAAACGGUUACUUCAAUUAUUUUCUUUGAAUAUUCAUUUUUCUUCCAAAAAUUAAUAUCAAAUUCAUCCAUUUCUCUUCAUCUUCACUUCAAUUUUGUACAAAUUCUCUCUCAACCUCAAUUUCUUCUCAAGGUUCUGUCAUAUUUCUUACUUAAUUCUUACUGAAUUUUUCACGGAUCUUUUAGGCUAAGGUAAGAAAAAGGGUAUUGGGUUUAAUUUUUCAACUUACAUGAGAAUUUUAGUUCUUCCGAUUAGAUUUUGAUGCAUGAUUCUUGAAUUUCUUGGAUAAAGAUGAUAUUAAUCUUGAUCAAAUUAAUUGCAUGAAUUCUUCUUUAAUUCUUAGUUAUGCAAUACACAUUCUUCCGAAAUUAAAGUUAUCAAUUGUUGUUAGAUUCCUUCUUUUGAAUUGAUUACUAGCAAAUAUUUGAUAUUAAAAUCGUUAGCAUCAUGAAUCUUGAAAUAGCUUAAGUAACAAUCACAUUAUUUUGAGUCUUGGUUGAAAAUCUUAGAGGUUAAUGCAAUUUAUACAAUUUUGGGGAAGAUGCAAUGUUGGAAGCAUAAGUAUUAUGAAUUAGAAUUCAUAACUUAAAUUGGUGUGACUAAUUCUUGAGUCAAAUAAGGCUUUUGACUCCCAGAAAUAAUUAACCUAGGAAUUGAAUUUUGCAAGAGUUCAUUCUUCUUAUUCUACUACGACUUUGCUGUUAGCGAUGCUUGAAUCUUGGGUCUAUGAAGACUACCCCCUCUGUCCCCUAACUUGUAAUAUUGUUUCAUUGUCCUGUCUUUCAUUUUUGUAUUCUUUGAAAUUUGUACUGUGCAUAUUGUACAUUGGCCUAUGACCUACAUUCUUUGUAUAUAUGAUGCAUUUAUGCCUUUUCAAUCCAACAUUCAUUUACUUUCCACCAGUCAACGUGUUAUUCAUAGCUUAGGUAAAUGAUAAGUUCUUGAUAAAAAAAAAAAGAGUUGCUCAUAAGUCUUAUCGCAUUAGUUGAACUAUUCUCAUCAUCUGACUAGGGUAAGUCGCCAACUACCCAAAAGGAAAAGUAGCUAGGACCUAACUCACAAGCGUGAAGAGGAGUUUCAUCUUUCCUCACAAGAUCAUUUCCAACAUUUGUAUCCCGAAAGGAGAACAAUUGUCGACAAUGGGCAUCGAGAGGUUGCCGUCCUCAAUCGUGAAAUCCUAUACGGUUCAUAAGUAGUCCCUUCUAGAUAUAACUCGCCAAUUCAUAUUUAGUCAUAUGGAUCUCCAAAAGCAACCAUGUGUGAAAUAUAAUGAUUUAAGAGAAGCAUGCCUUAAUCAUAAGUAUGGUUUAGUGAGUUACAUUGCAUCAAGGUUGUCCCAUUACAUAUUCACCUGAUAAUAGAUAGACAUUUCUUCUUUCAUUUUACAGACACAAGUAAGUUCGCAUUACCAUACCAUUUUAUUGUCCCCUAUUUACAGACUCUCGCUGCUUAGUUUAGCUUUUCUUACAUUUGUUAUUCUUUAAUUCUUUCAUAUCGCCUAAUUGAUGAGUAAUUUCAUAGAACUAAUGUCUUGAAACAACUCUCUAUGCUUGACCCUGAAUCACCUAGGUAAACCUACCAUUUUGCUUGUACUUGGGCAAGUAAUAGGAAAACUUGUACUCAAUGAGGACUUAUGUAUUACGCGAUGAAGAGGUACAUAGUGAGCAUUUCACAUGCUAUGAUCAUGCCUCGUGACUUAUCGCCUAGAUUAAGCACGCAAUACAGAAAGAUAUGGUGAGCACAUUACGCGCAAUGAACCUACAUAGUGACAUAUUGCAAUUGCAUUACACAAAUGUGAAACUACUAAGACUAAGUCCCAACCAUAACCAAGCAAUAAUCCCAUGUGAACAAGAGUUUGUAAAAGUGACUAUUUCAUGGUUCAAUCUUUUGUAAACUCUUUACAUAGGAUGCCUUCAUUUGCAUGUCUCUACAUGAACGAAUUAAGGAUCACAUCGUUUAUACUAGAUACAAAGCGAAAUGAAUCCAUAGUGUUUCCAAAAUAAGGUGUCCAGUCUUAUUCAUAUAUUAUAGAUCAUUUGGGGUAUAUACUCGAACUUGACUCAUGUUUAUGUAUAUACCUAAAGUUCAAGUUUACACAAGAUAGUUUGAAACCCUUGAUUAUUUGAUUCAAGAAUAUACAAUUUUCACUUAUAAUUCUUGAAAACCCAUUUUAUUGAAUAUGAUAUAAUUUACAAAUUACGAGUUUUGUGACAUAAAUUCCAAAAAUCACAUAUUGAAGUGUGAUUGUUGGAAUUUAUGUCUUAAAACUCGUAAUUUGUAAAUUAUAUCAUAUUCAAUAAAGUAGUUAUUUAUGAAUUACUAGUGAAAGAGAAUACUAUAAUCUUGAAUCAAAUAAACUAAGUCCCUAAGGCUAUCUCGUAGACUUGAACUUUAUGUACAGACAUAAAUGUGGAUCAAGUUUGAGUUCAUAGCUUAAAGGAUCUAUAAUUUAUGGAUAAAGUUGGACGCCUUAUUCUGGUAACAUUAUGGAUGUCACCUGCUUUGUAAGUAGUACAAACGAUGUGAUCUUGAAUCGUUCAUAUAGCUACAUAAUAGUAGAGGCAUCCUAUGUAAAAAGUUUGCAUAAGACCGAACCAUUAAUUAUUCACUUUUACGUUAUAACACCGUUGACGUUUUAACGCUGAGUAUUUCUUUUAAUUUGAUGACAUAGGUAACUUAACCUUAAUUCUAAGCUAACUUUAAACUUUUGUUCACACAAGAUUAUCCUUAAAUAUUCAUAGGUGAGGAUUUCUCUUAGUGUUGGCCCAAUAUGCCUUUCAUUUCAUAGGUAAAACCAAGUGUAUAGUUGGGGAGAUAGGUUGCAAGAUGAGAUUUACUUCUGACCUAUUUACGGUCAGUAGAUAUAUUGUUCCCUUAUGUACUGAAUGCAGAUCUUAAACAAGGGACCCCACCCUCUCAUUUGAUCUGCAAGGGAUUCGAUUGAUAGGUUGGACAUUAAACAAGUUGUUCAUUAGAGGAUCAAUGGUGCUUAAGGAACAAGAAGUAAUAUCAAGAGUAACAUAAUAAAUUGCUCUGUUGAGGUUACGAAUAACUUUUGAAGAGUUAGCUUACUAAUCACGGUUAUAUCAGGCAGACAUAAAUAUAUUUACAAGGGGAGUGCAACUACGGGACUUUACUGAAAUGAUCCAUUAGUUAACGAAUGUUGAUUAGGCUUGGUCUAAAAGAGUUUAAUUAGUUAAUCUCGGAUUGUUGGAGCCCAUGAUCUAUAGGUCCACUAGCUCCCUCUACUAGCUCAUUAUGGUAUAAAAAUUUAGAACAAGGUGAUAAAAAAUUCAAGUAGUACAAAUUUAUUUUCGUUAUUGAUAUUAAUAUAUAUGAGCUUUUUAGAAACAAGUGAUAUUUAAAUAAAAUUUUAAUAUCGAAAAACUCGAAUAAAGAUUCAAAUUAAAUUCAUUUGGAUUGGUCGGGAUUUGAUUUACUAUUGUUAUUAUUAUUGAUUAAUAAGAUUAAUUAAUAUUAAAUAAUAAAAAAAUUAGAAAUUUCAAUUUUAGAAUUUCAAUUUUGAAAAUCAAAUAUUUUAAAAACUUGAAAUUUAAUUACAAAUUGAAUUUCUUUCUUCAAGAGGCAAUAGAUAUUUUCCACCUCUUUCACCGAAUUUCAAGCAAUUAGAUGCCAUGUUAUUGAUAAUUUGAUUUGCUUAUAAAUACCCAUCAUAUUGCUCAAUUGAAUGAUGAUUUUCGUUGGAAAUUUGGUGACAAUUUUGAAGUGCUUAGGAAAAUAUUGAUAUUCUCAUUUUCUCUCAAAAAUCACUAAUUUGAUCACCAAUUCGAUUCCACAAUUGCAUUCUAAAGCCAGAGAAGAGUUGGUAAUCUAUGACUUGGAAUCAACGAAAACGAACAACAAUUGCAUUCUAAAGCCAGAGAAGAGUAGAAAAGACUCUUGUGGUUAUCUAUGACUUGGAAUCAACGAAAACAAACAAGAAUUGAAGGAGAAUUUCAAAUUUCAUGUAAGUGUUUUUUAAUUUACAAUUUUGCUCAAUUUUCAAUUUCAUGUUAAAUUAGAUGAAAUUAGAGUGUUCUGUUAUGAUUCUCUUCUCUGGUCAUGUUUUUUUAUCUAUCAAUAGUAAACUUUAUACAAUCAACAAUAUUAUAGCAUCUAGUAUGACAAGUUUACGAUAAUAAUAACAAAUAACCUUUCUUGAAUUUGGUCGUUGGAUAUUGAUUGUGAAGGAAUGGAAUUCCCGUAGCGAAAGCGUGUGAACGCCGUGCAAAAGAAUUUCGGUUUGAAACAUAGAGAAAACCUAAACAUGCUCCUAUGGAGGAUAAGAAGAAAGAAAACUAACCUUUGUAGAACCUCCCAAUAAGUCUCGAACUUUCUAAUAAACACCACCAACACCACAGAAUCUUCCUUGUUAUCCUCAAGAUAAAAAAAACACAGAUUUAAAGGAAAAAUUAUUUGCAGAGCCUUUGUCUAUUUUUGCAGAGAGAAUUCUUUUGUAAAUUUCACCUCCUUUCUAUAUCUUAACCAAAAGAUAUGAAGAGAGAUGGAGAGGAUAACUUCCUCCCUCUCCCAUUGGGAGUUAUUCUUUUAUUUGAAUUAAUAUUAAUAUAAAUUCAAAUUAUAUUAUAUCUCAUAUAAUAUUAAAUUUAUAUUGUAUCUCAUAUAAUAUUAAUUUUAUAUUAUAUCUCAUAUAAUAUUAAUUUUAUAUUAUAUCUCAUAUAAUAUUAAUUUUAUAUUAUAUCAUAUAUAAUAUAACCAAUGGUUUAGAUCUUCUCGUAUGAUCUACAGUUCUAAUAUGAAUUGAAUCUAUAUUGUUAUUAUUUGAAUUGAAUCAUAUUCAAAUAUUAACUUCUCUCAUAAUAUUAUAAUGUAUCAAAUACAUUAUAUUAAUUGUAUCAUAUACAAUUUAUUCCAUUUAAUCAAUUUGAACGAUUCAAAUUGAACCAAAAUAAAUUUGGUUCUCAUUUAUCUUUAUUGAGCUAACAAGAGGACAUUAUGGACCUACAGAUUAAAGCUCCAAUGAUGUGAGAUUAAUUAAUUAAACUCUUUAAUUAAAUUAAUCACUAUUCAUUAACUAUCAGUCAUUCCACUAAAGACCAAUAGCUGCACUAUUCUUACUGUAGAUAUAUUUUUGUGUCCAUUAGAUAUAACCAAUCAACAGUGCAAUGACCCUUCACAAAUCGUUCAUAAGUACAACUAGAUCAAAAAUUACCAUUUUGCCCCUGUAGUUACAUCUAACUCCUUAAAUACCACCAAUUCCUCUAAUGAACAAUAGUUAUAGUCCCACUAUAACGAAACUCCUCUCGGGCCAAGAGAGGGUGUGGCGCCACAUUGUUCAAGCCCUGGAAUCAGCCCUCAAGAGAGCAAUUUCUCUACUUACUCUAUUUAUAGAGAAGGAGUGAAUUCUUUCUUGUGUAGUUGUGUUCCCAGCUCCCUAAUCAAACGAAUCCCCAAAAUGGUAGGCUUAUUGAGUCGGCGAUAUAGGUCACUCUCACCCAUGCAAAUCAAAGAACUGCCUUCAUAGGUGUUAAUAAGAGAGACUAUUCAUUUCGUGGUCCGAUCUUAUACAAACUCUUUGUCUAGAAUAUCAUUGCUCUAAUGUCUCGACAUGAAUGAUUAGGAUCAAAUCAUUUGUAGCACUUUACAACAAUUAUAACAACUACAAAGCAGGUCGUAUUCAUAGUGUCACCAGAAUAAGGUAUUUAGUCUUAUCCAUCUACUACAGACCAUUUAGGUUAUCAUUUAAACAUGAUCCACUUGUAUGUCUCCACAUAUAUGUUUAGGUUACAUAAGAUAACCUUGGAUGUUAGUUUAUUGGUUUUGUGGGUUAGUGCAACUAAAUGUCAAAUAAAAUAACACACUUUAUUUUAUUAGAUAAAUAAAAUGUUUGUAUAAUAUAUACAAUUACAAACUACAAAACCACAAGAUUUAGGGCAUCAAUCCCAACAGAUUGUGGCUUCUCUGUACAAACAAUUCAUGUAUAGGCCUCUUCCAAUGAUGAAAUAUUUGAGCUUGACAAAACUUGAUCUACAAUCAUCUGAUAACGUGUAUAAACACUCGUUAUUAUAACCUCUUUUAUUAAAGUAAUGAGGCCAAAACGCAUAAGAAGAUGAUCAAACAGCAUAACUUACGUUGUAAAUACAUAAGUAUCAGGUCUGUUUUAUGCAAUUGUCAUGUUUAAACACAAGAUAAGUGGACAUGAAGAAAUGAGUAAGUCGUAGAGAACAUCUCACGUAAAAACCACGCGAUGGAAACUCUCAUGAUGGAUAACAUCUCAAGAUGAGGAACCACAUCUUCACGUAAGGAAGACUUAAUAGAGGAUAAGAAUGGUAGUUGAAAUGAUGUGACUUCAUAGGACCGAAGUCGGUGCUGACAAUUUCAGAAGAACAAAAGUUUUUCGCCAAAAGCUGCCUAUAAAAAAGACCUCAUCCCCACCAAGAGCAGGAGGCAUGUAUGGGCCAGCUGGAGGUCUAACUAGAACACAAUAAUAUAUGGCGAAGGCUAAAACCUAUAGAGAAAGACGAAAGGGAGUAGUCUUUCCGUCAUCUGUAAAUAUAUCUUUCUUCUUCUCUGACCAGAUUGUAACGAGAAAGCUUAGAGUUUGAGUGGAGAAGAAUCCAUUCCCCAUGCCCCCAAAUACUUUCCAUUAUCUUUUCGUUUCAUUUUCGUAUUCUUUGUAAUAUAUAUUGUUUAUAUUGUAUAAUAGCCAAAGCCCUACAUUCUUUGUAUAUGUUAUAUGUCUAUAACUUUUCAUUCCAUCAUUUCUUUGCUUUCUAUUAGUUAAUGUGUUAUUGGUGGUUUAUGUUAGUGAUAGGUUCUUGAUAAGAAGUAUCGCUUAAAAUGCUUAUCGCGUUAGUUGAGCAAUUCUCAUCGCUUGGUCAGUGUAAAUUGCAACUACCUGAGAUGGUAAGUAGCAAGGGCAUGGCUAAGCGCGCCAGGAAGAGUACUCUUCCUUCGCAAGAUACUUUCAUCAUUUGCAUCCCAAAAAGUGAGCAAGUGUGGGUAUUAUGCACCAAAGUUUCUAUCCUUAAUUGCAAAGAUCUACACGUAAUAUGAGUGAACCCUUUUAGAGAUAUCUCGCCUAAUCAUAUUUGAUCACUUGGAUCCCAAAAGGCGAGCAAGUGUGACGUUUAAGGGUUUCAAGAGAAGCUUGCCUUAAUCACAAACCCGUUAAGCAAGAUAUAUCGUGUCAAGACUCUCACAUAGCUUGAUUGCUCGAUAAUGCAUGACAUUUCUUUAUUCCCCUUGCAUAUAAGUUAGUUCACAUCGUCUUAACGCUUAAUCCAUAUUCUUCCUUUGUAGACUUUCUAGGCUUAGUUAAGUAGUUUAGAUUAUAUUCCCUUUCUUUACAUUCGUAGUUCUUCAUAUUUCUUAUUCUUUUAUUCUUUUAUACAGCAAAAAUGACAAGUAAUUUCUAGAACUAAUGUAUUGAAUCAAUUUUCUGUGUUUGACCAUAGAUCAUCCAAGUAAACAUAUUGUUUCGCUUGCACUUGGGCAAGCAGUAGAAAAACUUGUACUCAACGAGAACUUAGCUAUUACACGAUAAAGAGGUACAUAAUGAGCAUCUCGCAUGCUAUGGUCAUGACCCAUUACAUAUCGCAUAAAAUUAAUCGCAUAAUACAAAAAGCUAUAGUGAGAAUCUUACGUGCGAUGAACAUGCUUCGUGAUGUAUUGCCUAUAUUAGAAUUGCACCAUAUGAAUGUGAAACUACUAAGUCCAAACCAAAAGAAACCAACCAUGUUCUUGAAGUCCUUGCCAGGGAAUUGAUUUUUCAAACAUGCAUUUGAUCCUAGUGAAUCAUACGAUUAGCCAAAAAUCACGUGAAGAGGUUCAAGGUAAUAGAAUAAUCUAUGAUUGCUUGAACCAACCCCAGGAUCAGUGUAUCUUUCGGCGGAUGGCCAAGAAGAAUCUCAAUAGACGCGGUUAGUCGUAAAUGAAGAUGAGAACCUCUAUGAAGUCGUCAAAGAAAGUGUCCUCGCGCAGAGCUAAUGAGAAGCAUGUUUCACCUAGCUACGAAGGUAAGGACCAAGAAAGAUCAUAUGAACAUUGCGAUGAAUGAUUAGAAGCAGAGACUUGCUGUAAUGAACAAUCAAGAUGCAGAAAGUCAUGUUGCAAGUGAUCUAUGGAGUUUAGGAAAUGAUACAGUUAGAAAAGCUAUGGAGAGUAGAAGCAAUGAUACCACAACUCUUUGUCGCCGAAGAACUUGAACACAUGGUUGCAUCUGUAAUGUAUCACUCUUCCAUUUUUCUUUAUUAAGGAUUGGACCCCUAUUUUUGUGUACAUACUUAUACUUUUAUACCUCUGUAAGUGCUUGUAUACUUGUAAAUUAUUUUUGUAUUUAAUUUUUGUAUAUCCUUUAUUCUCACAUUGGGGAUAGCAUGUUAAGUUGCAAAAUAAUGAAUUCAUAAGAUAAGAUGCACGCAAUGAAGUCAGUCGAUGAAGUCAGUUUAUGAGAAGGACUGAGUAAUAAAGCAUUAGGUAUUCUAACCUUCUUGUACAACAAGGCUGAGUUUAUGCCUUCAUUGGGAAGCUUUAGGGUUUUUAGGAAAUAAGGAACGUCUUGUCACUCGUUAAAGUUCUUAAACUUUCAAGACGCAAGAAGUACGUUGUACCUCGAGCCACGAGUUGUUUGUCAGGUUUGACACGCCACAUUAAUAUAUAAGAUUCUAACCUUGUGGUAACCAAACCUUUAACCCUAGUUAAGAGCACCUAUUUAAACCUACCAAAACCUUGAAUCUCAGCAAUUAGCCAAAUACAAAAUGUCACGAAAGCAUAAGUUACCAUCUUCUUCAAAUCACCAUAAUCCUAAGAGUUCUUCUCCUAUAUCUUCAAGUUAUCCCUUCUAUCUUUCACCAAGAAAUGUUUCCCUUACAAAAACCCUUAUAAGAAUACAAAGUUCUGAGAACCAAGUGACCCACCAUUUUGCCUCAUUAUGCAAUAAGUUCACAAGAGAUGAAGGACGACGAGAUAGGCUAAGGAGGACUAAGGGAGAAAAUAUAUAGGAAUAAAAGGAAAUGUAAGGGAAGAAGCAAAAGAAAGUGAUAAUAUAAAUAGGAAUUUGAAAAUGUAAUAAGAAGAAUAGAAGAAGAAGGGAGAAGAGGCGAAUCAACUAGGCGAGGAAAGGAGAUAUUGAACUUCCAAUGAAGAACACUUUCCUGCCUUAUGUUAAUUUUAAAGGUUUAGGAAAAGGGACUCAAGAAAGAUCAAAAAAUGAAAUGUGGGUCCUUGAAGAAAGAAGUAGAAGAAAGUCGGAGGUGGAGGAAGAAAUCUCCAAGGGGUUUGAGAAAGGGAUUAAAAGAAGUUACCUGUCAUAAGAGGAAGGGCCUAAUCGCAAGAAGGAAAGAAGACAGAUACAAUUAAAAAGCUCUUGCGGGCACUGGUAGAGGUAAAGGGGAGAAGGAAAAAAAGACCUCAUCAACAUCCAUACGACAAAGGAUAAAUCAAAAUACCCCGAGAUCAAUUAAGAACGUGAAGGGGUUGAAGAAAGGGAGUGAUGAUCGUACAAACAAGAAGAGGAGGAAGUCUUAGGACCGAAGAAAGGACAAUCCUUUCAGACUUAGGAAUCCAAGGACAUCUUGUUGCAAGUCCACCGCUUUGACCUCUACGUUACAACUGUAGCCCUUCAAGGACAAACCACUCAAACUCCUCGCAAUUCCAAAUCGUCAACACUCCCCACCAACAACUUUUUCAGGAAAACUUUAAUCGUCUACUCCGGAUCUUAGCAAAUUCGACGACGUGUUGUGACUCGAUAGCAAAAGUGAGAAUAAAUCCACCAGAACCAUCUUCAUAGAAACCUCCUUUACUGUCGAAAUAUUAAAAGGAUAUGCUAAUUGUCAUCAAUUAUUUGGUAUUUUAAUUAUGCAUUAUGUAAUUUUUUUUUUUUUUUUUUACUUAUGACCAUUACAAUACAAGUCACAACUUAUUAUAUAAGUCUCUUUGAUCCCAAAAGGUGAGCAAGUGACAUUUAAGGUUUUCGAGUAAUCACAAAUUCAUUAAGCAAGAUAUAUCGCAUCAAGACUCUCACAUAGUUUGAUUGUCCGAUAAUGCAUGGCAUUUCUUUAUUCCCCUCGCAUAUAAGUUAGUCUGCAUCGUCUCAACGCUUAAUCCAUAUUCUCCCUUUAUAGAUUUUCUAGGCUUAGUUCAGUAGUUUGGACUAUAUUCCCUUUCUUUAUGUUCAUAAUUCUUCACAUUUGCUAUUCCUUUUUUCUUUUAUACAACCAAAAUGACAAGUAAUUUCUAGAACUAAUGUCUUGAAUCAAUUUCCUGUGUUCGAUCCUAGAUAAUCCAAAUAAACCUAUUGUUUCACUUGCACUUGGACAAGUAGUAGGAAAACUUGUACUCAACGAGGACUUAGCUAUUAUGCGAUAAAAAGGUACAUAGUGAAUAUCUCGUAUGCUAUGAUAAUGACCCAUGACUAGCAUAAAAUUAAUCAUGCAAUACAUAAAGUUAUAGUGAGCAUCUUACGUGUGAUUAACAUGCUUCGUGUCGUGUUGUCUAGAUUAGAAUUGCACCAUAUGAAUGUGAAACUACUAAGUCCAAACCAAAAGAAACCAACCACCAUCUCAUAUUAGGUGCAAUGUCAACUAAAAAACUCAUGAUAAACAAUUUUCAUGUUGAUCCAACACAACUUUAGGAUAAGUGUUAAUUGACAUUAAGGCACUGAAUUAUGCAUGCAUUUUUCACCUCCGUAGAAUAACUUAUUUCUCACCUUGCUCAGGUUGUACAGAGUCUAAUUCCACAUAAUUCAAACACUCGAUUAGUGUCUUUUUCUUGAAUAGAGAAAAUCCAAAUAUGCCAAUAGUUUUUUAGCAAAUUCGAAUGAUUAACUAAUCCAACAAUUUCGCACUAAAGAUUUAUUGGAUAAACAUUAUUCAAUCAUUCCUCAACCAAAUCUUUCGAGUAGCAUGAGUCGGUGGCUCCUUAAAUAUAUGAGCAUCCAACUCAAUGCUCCUAACAAAUGGCUAACAUUUGAUUGUCCUGAAUAAUAGUUAGAUCCAUUCAACUAACUUUUAACACUAUCAGAAUCAUUCCAUACAAAAAAUAUUCGUAUUAAACCAAACUCCAAGGUAUCGAAGAGACUUUAUCUCCCAUAAACAAGUGAAUAUACAGUCCAAACAAACAAACCACUAGAAGAAAGACAAGAUUUUAAUCAAACCCACAAAAGACAGAGCCAAAAAGAGCAACAUUCGCCCACACACGUCAACGAAUGAAUCGAACGACGAGGUGUGGCAACGCAUGAGCUUCACACGCUACUUAGAUGGAGAUCUAAAUUUAUGGUUUUGUAAAUCGACGAUUGGGCUUCCUUUUGGUAUGGAAGGUGUAAAAAAUUAGCAGCUAACAAUGGCAAACGACUGUGAAAUAGGUUGACGAUAACAACAGACAAAAAUACAAAAUUUUAUAAAACUCUAGAUGAAUCAAGAGUUCUAAACACCAAACCCUAAAGUUCACAAAAAAUUAUAAAAAAAAAAAACCACAGAGUGCUCUUAUACCAAAACUGGAUUUGAUGAAAUCAAUAUGCUUAUUCCACUCACUGACGAGAUAUAUAUAGAAACGACCAAAGAGUGUCCUAAUUAGGAAAAUAUAAAAGAUAUAAUAAAGCAAAGAAAGAAAACUAACUAUAUUAAAAAUAUAACCCUAAUUAAUACACUUCAACAAAAGUUAAACCCAUUGAAUAUUUUAACUAAGUCAAAUUUCAAAAUUGAUAGCAAGUAAUUUUUUAAAACUUUCUUUUGUUUUAAAAAUUUGACUAAAAACUCAACUCAUAUUCUUAGAAGGAUGCACAUCUUUCGUAGAAAUGAAAGAAUAAGCGUAAUUUUAAAAGUAAAAGUAAAAAAUAAAAUAGUUACCAAAUAGGUGGUAAAUAUACAUGAAACAAGAAAUACUUUUCACCAUAAAUUAUUUUUUCUACUUUGUACUCAAGUUUUCAAAAAAAAAAAAAGUUCUGGAAACUAAAAAAAUAUAGGUAUAAAAUCUUUUGUUUAGAUGUUCAUGAGAAUUCACGUUUUCCAUUAAAAUAGGUGAUCAUUAGGAGAAAAUUUCCUACAACUACUAAACGAAUAAGUAGAAAAAUAAUUGAAAAAUUAAAUGUAAGUAGCAAAGCUAAGAAACAAAGAAUGUAAAAAAAAAAAAAAGAAAACUGGCAAAAAAUCACAAUCCAACUUAAGAAAGUCCAUUGUGUAAAAAAAUGGUCACAAUUACACAAGGGAGAGUUCUAUUACAAGAUCACACUCAAAUUUUAAUGUAUUUAAAAAUUGACUGAAAAUUCAAGCAUGUCUUUGAAACAUACGAAAACAAUAUUCGAGAAUUGAGGAAAAAUAAAAUCGUCAUAAAAUAUAACCCAAGUAAAAGAAGUAAUGAACAAGUAGGAGGAAGAGAAGGGGAUAGAGAAUUAGAAAGACAAUGAGCAGAUGUGCAUUAUACAAGGCAAAUUGAGUCACCAACUGCGUAUUAGCGAAGUGUUGCCAACAUCCCCAUUGGUUUUUUACAUAUUGCUUGAAAAUAAUAAUCGUUGCUUCUUCACAUUAAUUAAUGAAUCCCUAAAGGAAGGUGGAGAUGAGAAAGCGGGGGAUGGGGACGACACCUUUUCCUUUUUCUUUUUCGAAAUACAUUAAAAACUAAAACUCUUACAUCUUCAACCAAAGCAAUAAUUCAAUGGUUUUUGACAGCCCUACUAAAAACCCUGCUAUCAACACACCAUUGUUUUGCUUUGCUUUUCGCCCUAUCAAUUAGACAGCUUCCAUCCGCACCAUACUCUUUCUUCUACCCAUACAGACACACACACACACUCCUCUCCAUGUAUUUUCCAUUCCCUUCAUGUCAUAUUCACAGUCACCGGCUUCCCCCGCCCCAUCGAAAAGCCUCUUGUCCCAUCUGGCAUUCGCGGCCCUGGAGGUUGCUGUUUCAUUGUACCUGCCUGCUCGAUGGUGGUUGAACUACUUGGAGGUGGAGUUCCCAAAUGGUUCCCAUGGCUAUGGUUAUUAUUGUGAUUAUGAUGAUAUUGUGAUCGACCACGCCCUUUACCGCGUACCCUAUUUCGAACUCUUCUCUGCCCACCACCAUCCUUCUCAUUUCCGUGCUCCUCUCGCUGCAAUAAACAUAGUAGUCAAUAGAAAGAAAUACCUUUUAUUUGGUAGGUGGGGUGGGGAAUCAAAAGAUUCGCAAUCCUUUUUUUUCAAAGUUUGGAAAAUUACAACAAUUAUGGAUAGUAAGAUAGUUCAUAUAACUAGUAUUUGUUUUCCAUUCGUAACUACUUUUAUAAGUUAAGGACGUAAAUGUUUUACAAUUCGCACAACCGUUCCUGUUCUAGUAAGGUUUCUUUUUCUUUUUUCCAACAACUAUCUGCCUCCCUAUAAGAAUCUGCUCAAUAUAGACAUUGGAAAAUUUAAUGUCUUCGCAUUCCCUGAAACUAUUUUGUAUCCCCCUUUCUUUUAUGGGGCUUCCUUUCGUGGGCUUUGAUUUUAUAAGUUUUCUUUUUCUUUUCAAGGGAAAGAUUCUUUUCAUUGAAAAAAUGAAAAAG